UAGAGGGCGAUGCUAGGGUGUGAUAGUUGUUGAUUGGCUAGAGGAUUAUCACAUGGACGACAAACUGAGGAACUGACUCCAAUGUGCAUGCAGUGGUAUCGAUGACCGACGUCGGAGUUUAUGGUUUUCUUGCUGUUUGUCGGUGUAGCUCUCAAGUUUGUCGAAACUUGUACCGAUUGAGUAGAUUUGGCGUGUGAAUCGAAGGAUCUUUGUAGCGCUGGAAUUCUGCAGCUGUUUGUUAUGAGUAUAUUGUUCCAGCUCAUUUAUGUUGCCCAAAAUUUAGUAUUGACUAUUAUUUACCCUUGUCUAAAUAUACUAUUCUUGGGGAAUCUUAACUAGCAGACCUUCCCUGUGAAGGAACUGCCAGUGAACUACCUAUCAGCCAUUGGAUUAAAAAACACGGAUCUCAAAGCAGUCAAAGGCGCCACGUCAGAAAAGAAAACACGUUAGCUGGGAACGUGUGAACUGUCGCACGACUCGUCUACAACAGCGGGUGCCUCCCUCCUCCCCAUUUCGCAUCCCGUCACCCGCGGAGUGAGAGAGGGAUCGACAACCAUGAGGCGACCUGUGACGGGAACCGUGCCGAUGCCCGUGCGUGGCGUGGUUGCAUCAUCCCAUGUAGCAUCUUCUGAAGGCAAAUUUUCCCACUGCAUGUACCAUUGAACAACCGGCAGAUUAUUUCUUGGUACCCGCCUGACUUGGAGAACCUCGGCAGGGAUAGUGCCAUCAGUGUUCACCAUUGGUAGAUUAGGGCUAGGAAUGGAUUUAUGGCCAAUGUGCUUCUUCAGCUGGCCGACAUGAAAAACAGGGUGUAUUUUCACAUGGUUAGGAAAUUGCAGUUUAUAAGCUGACUUGCCCACCUUUUGCACAAUCAGAAAAGGUCCAUAAUACUUGUUUUGCAACUUUAGAGCCCCUCUGAAUCCAAAGGCUGUUAAUCUGUAAGGAGCCAUUUUCAAAUAUACCAUAUCUCCCACUUCAAAAGACUAUCCACUCUUUUAGUAUCUGCAUAACGUUUCAUUCUGUUCUGGGCUUGCAGCAAAUUUUCUUUCAGUUAUUCCAACAUUUAUUGUUUGGCAGACAAGAAAUUAUGAGCCUCUUCUUCAGGUCUAGGAAUUGCCAGUUCAGAGAUCAAUGGGGGAGGAAAACCAUAAUGUACCUGGAAAGGAGACGUUUUUAUAGCAGUGUCAUAACUAGUAUUGUACCGGUACUCAGCUAGAGAUAGCCAUGAACACCAUUUCUUAGGCUCAUCAGUUGCCAUGAACCUUAGAUAAGUUUCCACACACUGAUUUACCCCCUCAGUUUAGACAUAAGUUUGAGGAUGGUUUCUGUACUAUACCUUAACUCACUUUUCAGAGCAGAAAAUACGUCUCUCCACAGUUUGCUUGUGACAAUUUUGUCUCUGUCUGAGAUAAUUAAUUUAGGAGGACCAUGUGCGCAUAGCUCACCAGCGGUGGCUGGCACGAUCGGGUCUUGGUGAAUGUGCCACCGUUGUGUGGCUACAUGGAGGGUCCUUGUGUCCUGAUGUAUUCUUGCCUCUGUAACUCUAUGAUCAUGAAAUAAUACUCUUUUUAUUACCCAAAAAAACACGACCAUCGAUGUUUGUCUCAUGUUUAGGCAUUCCUGUGAGUGGAUAAUUGUCAAGAAGAGAACCCGAGCCCGAUCCAUGUGUAUGGCGCCAGUCGAGCUGACAAUGGCGGGGAAUAUCUCUUUCCUCCCCCGGUCGGCAGGUCCUGUUACUAGUUGUUCGAGCGCAUCAUCCAACGAAACCAACACGACACCAGUCGGGCUAGUUGGCCAUGGCCGCAAUAAGGGGCGGAGCCAUGAUUUUUUGCGAAUGGGUAUGAACUAACUGUCUGCUACCUCUUGAGUUUGUGUUGAAUUUUCUUGAAGAGGAAAGAUAAUGCAGCACAGUAGCGUAAGUAUUUCCCUUAGUUUUUGAGAACCAAGGUAUCAAUCCAGUAAGAGGCCACGCUCAAGUCCCUCGUACCUACACAAAAACAAUAGCUCCUCGCAACCAACGCAAUUAGGGAUUGUAAUUCCCUUCACGGUCACUUACGAGAGUGAGAUCUGAUAGAGAAUAUUUUUGGUAUUUUUGAUAUAGAGAUGCAAAGUGAAAAGUAAAAGGCAAAGUAAAAAAGCAAAGCAAAAUAAAAGUGAUGGAGAUUGAUAUGAUGAGAAUGGACCCGGGGGCCAUAGGUUUCACUAGUGGCUUCUCUCAAGAGCGUAAGUAUUCUACGGUGGGUGAACAAAUUAUUGUUGAGCAAUUGACAGAAUUGAGUAUAGUUAUGAGAAUAUCCAGGUAUGAUCAUGUAUAUAGGCAUCACGUCCGAGACAAGUAGACCGAAACGAUUCUGCAUCUACUACUAUUACUCCAUUCAUCGACCGCUAUCCAGCAUGCAUCUAGAGUAUUAAGUUAAAAAUAGAGUAACGCCUUAAGCAAGAUGACAUGAUGUAGAGAGAUAAAUUCAUGCAAUAUGAAAUAAACCCCAUCUUGUUAUCCUCGAUGGCAACGAUACAAUACGUGCCUUGCUGCCUCUUCUGUCACUGGGAAAGGACACCGCAAGAUCGAACCCAAAGCUAAGCACUUCUCCCAUGGCAAGAACUACCAAUCUAGUUGGCCAAACCAAAUGGAUAAUUCGAAGAGACUUGCAAAGAUAACCAAUCAUACAUAAAAGAAUUCAGAGAAGAUUCAAAUAUUAUUCAUAGAUAGACUUGAUCAUAAACCCACAAUUCAUCGAUCUCAACAAACACACCACAAAAAAAAGAUUACAUCGAAUAGAUCUCCACAAGAGAGGGGAAGAACAUUGUAUUGAGAUCCAAAAAGAGAGAGGAAGCCAUCUAGCUAAUAACUAUGGACCCGAAAGUCUGAGGUAAACUACUCACACUUCAUCGGAGAGGCUAUGAUGAUGUAGAAGCCCUCCGUGAUGACGGCCCUCUCCGGCGGAGCUCCGGAACAGACCCCAAGAUGGGAUCUCGUGGAUACAAAAAGUUGCGGCGGUGGAUUUAGGUUUUUGGCUCCGUAUCUGAUCGUUUGGGGGUACGUAGGUAUAUAUAGGAGGAAGAAGUACGUCGGUGGAGCUUCGGUGGGCCCACGAGGGUGGGGGCCGCGCCUGGGGGGUAGGGCCCGCCCCCUACCUCGUGCCCACCUCGAAGCUUCCUUGGCAUAUGGUCCAAGUCUCCUGGGUCAUAUUCGGUGAGAAAAUCACAUUCCCGAAGGUUUCAUUCCGUUUGGACUCCGUUUGAUAUUCCGUUUCUUCGAAACACUGAAAUAGGCAAAAAACAGCAAUUCUGGGCUAGGCCUCCGGUUAAUAGGUUAGUCCCAAAAAUAAUAUAAAAGUGGAAAAUAAAGCCCAAUAUAGUCCAAAACAGUAGAUAAUAUAGCAUGGAGCAAUAAAAAAUUAUAGAUACGUUGGAGACGUAUCAGGCAUCCCCAAGCUUAAUUCCUGCUCUUCCUCGAGUAGGUAAAUGAUAAAAAGAGAAUUUUUGAUGCGGAGUGCUACUUGGCAUAAUUUCAAUGCAAAUCUUCUUAAUUGUGGUAUGAAUAUUCAGAUUAGAAAGAUUCAAGACAAAAGUUCAUAUUGACAUAAAAAUUAAUAAUACUUCAAGCAUACUAACAAAGCAAUUAUGUCUUCUCAAAAUAACAUGGCCAAAGAAAGUUAUCCCUACAAAAUCAUAUAGUCUGGCUAUGCUCUAUCUUCACCACACAAAGUAUUUAAAUCAUGCACAACCCCGAUGACAAGCCAAGCAAUUGUUUCAUACUUUAACAUUUUCAAAAAAAAAUCGAUCUUCACGCAAUACAUGAGCGUGAGCCAUGGAUAUAGCACUUAUAUGUGGAAUAGAGUGGUGGUUGUGGAGAAGACAAAAAAGAGGGGAAGAUAGUCUCACAUCAACUAGGUGUAUCAACGGGCUAUGGAGAUGCCCAUCAAUAGAUAUCAAUGUGAGUGAGUAGGGAUUGCCAUGCAAUGGAUGCACUAGAGCUAUAAGUAUAUGAAAGCUCAUCAAAAAAAACUAAGUGGGUGUGCAUCCAACUCGCUUGCUCACGAAGACCUAGGACAAUUUUGAGGAAGCCCAUCAUUGGAAUAUACAAGACAAGUUCUAUAAUAAAAAAUUCUCACUAGUAUAUGAAAGUGACAAAAUGAGAGACUCUCUAUCAUGAAGAUCAUGGUGCUACUUUGAAGCACAAGUGUGGUAAAAGGAUAGUAACAUUGUCCCUUCUCUCUUUUUCUCUCAUUUUUUUUAUUUGGGCCUUUUUUAUGGCCUCUUUUUUUUCGUCCGGAGUCUCAUCCCGACUUAUGGGGGAAUCAUAGUCUCCAUCAUUCUCUCCUCACUUGGGACAAUGCUCUAAAAAUUGAUGAUCAUCACACUUUUAUUUUUCUUACAACUCAACAAUUACAACUCGAUACUUAGAACAAAUAACUCUAUAUAAAUGCCUCCGGCAGUGUACCGGGAUAUGCAAUGAAUCAAAAGUGACAUGUAUGAAAGAAUUAUGAAUGGUGGCUUUGCCACAAAUACGAUGUCAACUACAUGAUCAUGCUAGCAAUAUGACAAUGAUGGAGCGUGUCAUAAUAAAUGGAACGGUGGAAAGUUGCAUGGCAAUAUAUCUCAGAAUGGCUAUGAUAAUGCCAUGAUAGGUAGGUAUGGUGGCUGUUUUGAGGAAGGUAUAUGGUGGGUGUAUGAUACCGGCGAAAAGUGCGCGGUAUUAGAGAGGCUAGCAAUGGUGGAAGGAUGGGAAAAAGUGCAUAUAAUCCAUGGACUCAACAUUAGUCAUAAAGAACUCAUAUACUUAUUGCAAAAAUCUAGAAGUUAUCAAAGCAAAGUAUUACGUGCAUGCUCCUAGGGGGAUAGAUUGGUAGGAAAAGACCAUCGCUCGUCCCCGACCGCCACUCAUAAGGAAGACAAUCAAUAAAUAAAUCAUGCUCCGACUUCAUCACAUAACGGUUCACCAUACGUGCAUGCUACGGGAAUCACAAACUUUAACACAAGAAUUUCUCAAAUUCACAACUACUCAACUAGCAUGACUCUAAUAUCACCAUCUUCAUAUCUCAAAACAAUUAUCAAGCCUCAAUCUUUUCUUACUAUUCAACGCACUCAAAAGAAAGUUUCACAAAUCUUGAAUACCAAGCAUAUUAUUAUUAAGCAAAUUACCAUGCUAUUAAGACUCUCAAAAUAAUCUAAGUGAAGCAUGAGAGAUCAAUAGUUUCUUUAAAACAAACCACCACCGUGCUCUAAAAGGUCUAAGUGAAGCACAUAGAGCAAAAUUAUAACGCCCAAAAAGAUAUAAGUGAAGCACAUAGAGCAAAACUACAUAGCUCAAAAGAUAUAAGUGAAGCACAUAGAGUAUUCUAUCAAAUUCUAAUUCAUGUAUGGCUCUCUCAAAAGGUGUGUACAGUAAGGAUGAUUGUGGCACACUAACAAACGAAGACACAAAUAAUACAAGACACUCUAAGCAAAACACAUAUCAUGUGGUGAAUAAAAAUAUAGCUCCAAAUAAAUUACCGAUGGAAGUAGACGAAAGAGGGGAUGCCUUCCGGGGCAUCCCCAAGCUUUGACUUUUUGGUGUCCUUGGAUUAUCUUGGGGGUGCCAUGGUCAUCCCCAAGCUUAAGCUCUUGCCACUCCUUGUUCCAUAAUCCAUCAAAAGAAUUCAUCCAAAACUUGAAAACUUCACAACACAAAACUCAAUAGAAAUCUCGUGAGCUCCGUUAGAGAAGGAAACAAAAAACCACUUCAAGGUACUAUAAUGAACUCAUUCUUUAUUUAUAUUGGUGUUAAACCUACUGCAUUCCAACUUCUCUAUGGAUUAUAAACUAUUUUACUAGCCAUAGAUUCAUCAAAAUAAGCAAACAACACACGAAAAACAGAAUCUGUCAAAAACAGAACAGUCUGUAGUAAUCUGUAACUAACGCAAACUUCUGGAACCCAAAAAAUUCUACCAAAAUUAGACGACCUAUAAAAUUUGUUUAUUGAUCAGAAGGAAUUGGAAUCAGUAUUUUAUCACGUUCUUAUGAUUUUUAAUAAUUCGGGCACUGAGCGCAAAGUUUCUGGAAAUUACAGCAAGAUAAAAUAACUAUCAUCCAAGAAGAUUCAAUAGGUCUAACUUGGCACAAACACUAAUUAAAACACAAAACCACAUCCAAACAGAAGGUAGAUGGGUUAUUUAUUUCCUAACAGAAUAAAAACACAAGAAACUAAAAAUAAAAUUGGGUUGCCUCCCAACAAGCGCUAUCGUUUAACGCCCCUAGCUAGGCAUUGAGAUUUCAAUGAUGCUCACAAGAAAGAAAAAAAUUGAAGCACAAAGAGAGCAUCAUAAAACACGUUAUAAACACAUCUAAGUCUAACAUACUUCCUAUGCAUAGGCAUCUUAUAGGCAAACAAAUUAUCAAGGCAAGCAAAAACUAGCAUAUGCAAGGAGGCGGAAAGAAACAAUAGCAAUCUCAACAUAACAAGAGGUAAUUUAUUAUCAUGAAAAUUUCUACAACCAUAUUUUCCUCUCUCAUAAUAAUUACAUGUGGGAUCAUAAGAAAAUUCAACAAAAUAGCCAUCACAUAAAAUAUUUUCAACACGAUCCACAUGCAUGCAAAGUUGACACUCUUACGAAAUAGUGAGAUUAACAUUAACUAAAGUCAUGACCUCUCCAAACCCACUUUUAUCAAAAAUUUCAUAAAAUUGAAUAUUCUCCAAAUAUGUGGGAUCUAAAGUUGACACUCUUCCAAACCCAGUUUCAAUAUUAUUGCAAACAAUAUUAUCAAUCUCAUAUUCAUCAUGGGGAUUAAAUAAAUUUUCAAGAUCAUAAGAAGAAUCACCCCAAUCAUGAUCAUUGCAACAAGUAGUAGACAUAGCAAAACUAGCAUCCCUAAGCUUAGGGUUUUGCAUAUUAUUAGCAUAAUUGACAUCAAGAGAAUUUAUAGUAAAAUCAUUGAAAUCAUGCUUUUCAUCUAGGGAACUAUCAAGCAUGGGCGCAAUAGCAAGAAUCUCAUUUUUAACAUAAGGAACUAUAGCAAAUUCGUCUUCAUAAAUAUUGGCAUCAUGGCCACAAGAAUAGCAAGCAUCAUGUUCAUCAAGGGAUAUUUCAACCAAAUCAUCGGAAUCAUCAUUAUCUAUAGAUUCAUGCAUAUCAUUAUUUUCUUCCAAAGCAAUGGUCAUUCUUUCGAUAAAUUCUUGGACAUAGACAUUAUGAGCAAGGUUUUCAUUGCAAUAUUUAAGUAUGACUCAAUUUUCAGAUUUGUUGAGAGUAAAAUCAUACUUUUCAAUCAAAGAAGCAACUUCAUGAGCACCCUUAAAAACAACAAAUUCUUCAAUUUGUUCGAUAUCAUAGUAACUAUAAACACCUUUUGCAUAAGAAGAUAAGAUUUCAUUAUCAUUGAACUCACAUAGGUAGGGAAGGUGUUUUUUAGGAUUCUUAGAGCAACAAGUAAAAUCACACAUUUCACAAAGAUUCCAAGCAUAGCAUAGCAAACUAUUUAUGUGAUACCUUAAGAGUCUCCCUUUUUCAGACAAACGAUGACGCACAAAAUGAGCAUGCUCAUCUAAAGAUUUCCCAUCAACUAGGCUAGUUGGGGUUUCAGCACGAGCGCAUAAGGAUCGAAGAUGAUCCAAGUAGAACACUUUAAGUGGAUCCAUAUCAAUAGAUUUUUAGCAAGCAAAGAUGCAAGCAAAUAGAAGGCAUGUAGAAACACAAACAAAGACACAUACGGGAAGAAGGCGAACGAAAAAGAGAGGGCGAAUAAAACGGCAAGGGUGAAGUGGGGGAGAGGAAAACGAGAGGCAAAUGGCAACUAAUGUAAUGCGGGAGAUAGGGAUUGUGAUGGGUACUUGGUAUAUUGACUUUUUGCGUAGACUCCCCAGCAACGGCGCCAUAAAUGGCUCGUUGUCGGGAGUCCAAAUCUUGCUAUCUCUUGAGCUUGCGUUGGAUUUCCUUGAAGAGGAAAGGUGAUGCAGCACAUUAGCGUAAGUAUUUCCCUCAGUUUUUGAGAACCAAGGUAUCAAUCCAGUAGGAGGCCAUGCUCAAGUCCCUCGUACCUACACAAAAACAAUAGCUCCUCGCAACCAACGCGAUUAGGGGUUGUCAAUCCCUUCACGGUCACUUACGAGAGUGAGAUCUGAUAGAGAAUAUUUUUGGUAUUUUUGAUAUAGAGAUGCAAAGUGAAAAGUAAAAGGCAAAGUAAAAAAGCAAAGCAAAAUAAAAGUGAUGGAGAUUGAUAUGAUGAGAAUAGAUCCGGGGGCCAUAGGUUUCACUAGUGGCUUCUCUCAAGAGCAUAAGUAUUCUACGGUGGGUGAACAAAUUACUGUUGAGCAAUUGACAGAAUUGAGCAUAGUUAUGAGAAUAUCCAGGUAUGAUCAUGCAUAUAGGCAUCACGUCCGAGACAAGUAGACCGAAGCGAUUCUGCAUCUACUACUGUUACUCCACUCAUCGACCUCUAUCCAGCAUGCAUCUAGAGUAUUAAGUUAAAAACAGAGUAACGCCUUAAGCAAGAUGACAUGAUGUAGAGAGAUAAAUUCAUGCAAUAUGAAAUAAACCCCAUCUUGUUAUCCUCAAUGGAAAUGAUACAAUACGUGCCUUGCUGCCCCUUCUGUCACUGGGAAAGGACACCGCAAGAUCGAACCCAAAGCUAAGCACUUCUCCCAUGGCAAGAACUACCAAUCUAGUUGGCCAAACCAAACGGAUAAUUCGAAGAGACUUGCAAAGAUAACCAAUCAUAUAUAAAAGAAUUCAGAGAAGAUUCAAAUAUUAUUCAUAGAUAGACUUGAUCAUAAACCCACAAUUCAUCAGUCUCAACAAACACAAUGCAAAAAGAAGAUUACAUUGAAUAGAUCUCCACAAGAGAGGGGGAGAACAUUGUAUUGAGAUCCAAAAAGAAAGAAGAAGCCAUCUAGCUAAUAACUAUGGACCCGAAGGUCUGAGUUAAACUACUCACACUUCAUCAGAGGGGCUAUGAUGAUGUAGAAGCCCUCCGUGGUGGAUGCCCCCUUCGGCGGAGCUCCGGAACAGGCCCCAAGAUGGGAUCUCGUGGUUACAGAAAGUUGCGGCGGUGGAAUUAGGUUUUUGGCUCCGUAUCUGAUCAUUUUGGGGGUACGUAGGUAUAUAUAGGAGGAAGAAGUACGUCGAUGGAGCUUUGGUGGGCCCAUGAGGGUGGGGGCGCGCCUGGAGGGGUAGGGCGCGCCCCCCUACCUCGUGCCCCCCUCGAAGCUUCCUUGGCGUAGGGUCCAAGUCUCCUCGGUCAUAUUCGGUGAGAAAAUCACGUUCCCGAAGGUUUCAUUCCGUUUGGACUCCGUUUGAUAUUCCGUUUUUUCGAAACACUGAAAUAGGCAAAAAAACAGCAAUUCUGGGCUGGGCCUCCGGUUAAUAGUUUAGUUCCAAAAAUAAUAUAAAAGUGGAAAAUACAACCCAAUAUAGUCCAAAAUAGUAGAUAAUAUAGCAUGGAGCAAUAAAAAAUUAUAGAUACGUUGGAGACGUAUCACUGUCAUACGAGCGUCGUUGGUUGUUAAAAGAAUCAAAUCUAAUCUCGCCCAAAGAGAAAUCCUUCACAACUUGAUCCAAGCCUGGGGGCCAAUGCGCCCCCCCUUCCCGUCUUGUGAAUAUUUUUGAAAUACGAAACAAAUUUAAAAAUCUUUAUUUUAAAAAAUCACGGAACAUUUUUUCAAAUUCAAGAACAAUUUUUGUAAUACAUGAAGAAUUUUUUUAAUUCAGGAUUAUUUUCCACAUUCAGGAAUAUUUUUCAAAGUUGAAAAAAAACUUGGGAUGCCCCGUUCCACAGUUGGGCCGGCAAAAACCAUUCGCACGGGGGAGCGGUGGUGCGCGAUUACUCGAUUUCCCCUGCGCAACAAGGGGAAUAGGAGCUCCUGCGGAAAUCCUAUUGCCCGGCGUAGGUCGAUAGUUGUAUACCAAAUUCAAAAUUUUCAAUAAUUCAAAUAUUUUCUUCGAAUUCAAAAAGUGGUCAUCAUAUUCAAAAAUGUUUAUGAAAUCCAAAAAAUGUUCGUCAUGUUCAAAAAAUAUUCAUCAAACUCAAAAAACAUGAUUGUCCAUUUCGGAAACUUUUCAUAAAACGAAAGUUUUUUAUUCAAUUCAAAUUGUGUUCAUCAAUUUCAAAAAAACGAUCAUAGAAAUUCAAAUUUGGUGCAUGAAAAUACAAAAAUGUCCAUAAAAUUCAAAAAAAACUCUUAUCAUUCAUUUCUUCAUUAGAUCAUUAGUUGUUUUGUAUUUGUGAACAUUUUUAGAAAUUCAAAAGAUUUUUUUUGGAAUCUCAAAAAAUGUCAAGUAGUAAAAAAACACAUGACAAAAAGGAUAGCCCUGCCCUGCACCUAGGCUGCCCAAGUUCAUGCACGGGGGGAGCGGUGGGGUGUGUGUUACCUUGUUUCCAUCGCACGGGGUCCGGGAUUAGGAGGUCCCGAGCUCCGGCCCAUUUGUAUACGCAAGAGCUAUGUCUCGCUUAUAGCUUGUCUCGUGUCUACAGUGACGGGCCUGCUCAUUAGCGCACAUAAAGAAAUGAGAUUCGGUCCUAUGACCUCCUGCUUAUAGCGUACUGCUGCUAGCGACUAAAUAGUCGUCAAGUCCAUGUUAUACUACUAGGACGGGGACAACUAAAGGAGAAGGGUCGGAUUUCCACAUCCUUUUUGUUUCUUUUUCGAUUUUGCUUUUUCUUGUUUUUCACAGGGUUUUCUUCUUCUCUUUCUCGGGUUUUAAUAGCUUUUCUCUUUUCUUUCCUUUCUCUUUAUUUUUCUUCGCUAUUGUUUGUUUCUUUCUCAUUUUUCGUCUGUUUUCCUUUUGUUUCCCCUUGGAUUUCACUGUUUUUCUAUACACAUUUUUGAUCAUAAAAAUUCGAAUUUGGUGCAUGAAAAUACAAAAAUGUCCAUAAAAUUCAAAAAAAGCUCAUUUCUUCAUUAGAUCAUUAGUUGUUUUGCAUUUGUAAACAAUUUUAGGAAUUCAAAAGAUUUUAUUUUUUGGAAUCUAAAAAAAAUUCAAGUAGUANNNNNNNNNNNNNNNNNNNNNNNNNNNNNNNNNNNNNNNNNNNNNNNNNNNNNNNNNNNNNNNNNNNNNNNNNNNNNNNNNNNNNNNNNNNNNNNNNNNNNNNNNNNNNNNNNNNNNNNNNNNNNNNNNNNNNNNNNNNNNNNNNNNNNNNNNNNNNNNNNNNNNNNNNNNNNNNNNNNNNNNNNNNNNNNNNNNNNNNNNNNNNNNNNNNNNNNNNNNNNNNNNNNNNNNNNNNNNNNNNNNNNNNNNNNNNNNNNNNNNNNNNNNNNNNNNNNNNNNNNNNNNNNNNNNNNNNNNNNNNNNNNNNNNNNNNNNNNNNNNNNNNNNNNNNNNNNNNNNNNNNNNNNNNNNNNNNNNNNNNNNNNNNNNNNNNNNNNNNNNNNNNNNNNNNNNNNNNNNNNNNNNNNNNNNNNNNNNNNNNNNNNNNNNNNNNNNNNNNNNNNNNNNNNNNNNNNNNNNNNNNNNNNNNNNNNNNNNNNNNNNNNNNNNNNNNNNNNNNNNNNNNNNNNNNNNNNNNNNNNNNNNNNNNNNNNNNNNNNNNNNNNNNNNNAAUUUUCGAACCCGGUCAACAUUUUUUGUAUAAAAUAUUAACAUUUUUCAAAUGUUAGAUUAAAAAUCAAAUAAUUGUUUAACAUUUUUUUCCAAAUGCUUGAUUAACAUUUUCAUAUACAUGAUUAAUAAAGUUGAUAAUUUUCUAAUACAUGGUCAACAUUUUUCUCUAGAAGUUUAACAUUUUUAAAUUUAUCAUAUAAAAGAUAAAACAAUCAUUAUUUUUGUAAAACAUGGUCAACAUAUUUUAUAUAGACAUUUAUCAUUUUUUAAAUAAUUGAUUAACAUUUUGAAAUAGUUGUUCAACAUUUUUUCAAAUGUUUGAUUAAUAUUUUCAUAUACCUUAUCAAUGUUUUCAUCAUUUUUAAUAUAUGGUAAAUAAAAUUAUACGCAUUUAACAUUUUCAAAUGUUUAAUUUAAACAUGUUUUCGAAAUCAUGAUUAACAUUUUUUCGAAAUAAUGAUUAACAUUUUUAUAUACAUGAUCAGUAUUUUCAUUAUAUUCUAGUACACGGUCCACAUUUAUGUAUACACAUUUAACAUUUUUCAUAUGAUUGAUUAACAUUUUUCAAAUACUUAAAUAACAUUUUUUAAAUCUGUGUUCAACUUUUUUUUCAAAUUGUUGAUUAACAUUUUUUUAAUACAUGAUUAAAAAACUUCAUACGCAUUGCAUUUUUUGUAUACGUGAUAAAACUUUUCCGUUUACACAUUUAAGUUUUUCCAAAUGUUUGGUUAAUAUUUUUCUAAUGUUUUAUCCAGAGUGUUGCCAUGGUCUCACUAUAAGCGAGAGGGCGCCCAUCUGUGACCUGUAACUCGAGGUCGUCUACAUCGCCCAAUAAAUGUAGUUGCAUCGUUCUCUUCACUUAGAUGGCUCGUUUGUCUUGAUUUUGUCCUUUUUUCUUUUAUAAAGUUAUUUAUAUUUAGAUAUAAAUAAGAGUAAAAAUAUUUACGCCAUGUUAAUUUUUUCUGAAAUGCUAAAAAUAUGUUCGUGCAACUUUAAUAAAAUUAUGAUUAACAAAAAAGUAUGUGACAAUUCAAAAAAUGUUCACACCCUUCAAACAAAUGUAGGCAUAAUUUUAAAAAAUGUUAUAAAAGAAACUGUCCUUGUAAUUGAAAAGAAAUGUUUCUUACCAUUCAAAAAAUAUAUUAAAUUUUGAAAGUGUUAAUGCAUUUCAAAUAAAAUGUUUGUGACACUUAAAAAAUGUUUAUACAAUUUAAAAUAUAUAAAACAAACAUUUAUUUAAUAAAUAUUCAGAAAAUUUAUUUAAAAAAUAUUAGUCAUGUAUUUAAAAUGUAAAUGUUUAUAAAGAUGUGGUAGAUGUAUACAAAAAUGCACAAUGUGUAUGAUAAAAAUAGACAUAAAAUCAUCGAUUUGAAAAAAUGGUUAUAUUGUAUUUAAAAAUUAUUAAUCAUAUAUAAAAAAUAGUCCCAGUGUAUAUGCAUAUACAAAAUGUAGACAUGUAUUAAAAAACUGAAGAAAAGAAAGUAAGAAACAAAGAAAAUCAAGUAGGAGAAAGAAACAAAAAAAGGUAAGAAAACCAAAGAAAAGACAGAAUAAAAACGAAAGGAAACAAAAAAUGAAGGUAAACUUUGCUUUGGGUCAUAGUUUUAACUAAUCCGUCAUUUCACUGUCAGUACAAAAGAUAGCAGAUAGAUCAAGCAAACAAGGAAGGGGAUCUUUGCCGUGUCUCGUCUAAUCAAGAUACCCUACAUGUAUCCGAUUCAUUUGCUUUCCUUUCACAGGACUAUUUCACUUAUAUUUUUGCUGUGAGUGAGCAUCAAGACUUAAUUUGAUUAACUAAUCAUCCUACUGCCUUUUUGUUUUUGAAAAGACCCGCAGUUAAGCGACGACAUAGUCAAUGCACCGACAUAUGUUUCAACUGCACAGAAUUAAUAUCUGAAGAGACAGGUUGUUUGAGAUUUUCUUUUCUUACAAAUUGCUUCGAUGUUACUCCCUCCGUUCUGAAAUAUAAGAUGUUCUAACUUUUCUCUGAAUUAGAUGUAUAUAGACAUGUUUUAGUAUGUUUGUUUACUCAUUUUAGUCUGUAUGUAUGCAGUCCAUAUUGAAAUAUCCAAAAACUCUUAUAGUUUGGAAAGGAGGGAGUAUUACUUUGACCAAUGCCCACAGUACUAUGCCUACUUUUACAAACUGACUUGCUACCGUGGAGCAAACAAACAUGACUUGCCGUCCGUCCCAUGCAAUGCACAUGCAUUAGCCAAUAAUGUGAGCAAAUUUGCAAAACACAGUAAAUGUAUGACAAAAAAUAGAUUCAAAAAUAGCCAUAAUAAUAAACCAUUAAUAAUUCAUUUAUAGCAAUAUAUCUUGAUGUGUAAUCCAUCUAUGUCAAACAUUCCACCAGGCAGAACUACAAUGUCUCCCGAGACCGAGAGUAGAGCAUAUCGAUGAAUCAUGUUCACUGUUGUAAUGCACUAUCCAACAUCUUCACCUUUUUUCCAUUGCCGAAACCCGUCAUUUUCAACUUUUGGAUUUGGGAAAUCUGGAUCCUAAGUAUGCCUUUCUUCUAGCCCAAAAAAAAAGAGUAUGUCUUGUCUCAUCUUGAGACUAAAUCAUCAGGCUAUGCAUCUCCAGUUCUCCGCUGCAGCAAUUUCAUAAAGGUGAACGUCAGCCAAAACCACCUGAGAAGUUCCCGCAAAAACUAGAGAAAGUAGAAGUCCUAUCCUGGUGCCAUACAUACCUUGUUCUAUGUAUGUGCAGUUGCUACAUGUCCUAGUUUUCACAGAUUCAGGCAGAGCAUACUACACUAGAUCCUUGCUACAAAAGGCAACACCACAAAAAAAAAGGUCAUGUCAUGAUACACAUAACAAAGACAACAAGAGGCAUAUAUGCACAACAAAGGCGGAAGCAAUUAUAUCUUUAGCACUCACCUGGCAAGCCUUGACGUCCUGGCAUCCACACAGGAGCAUGCCGUUGAGCAGAUCGGUGGCUUGGAAUGCGCCCCCUCCCUCGCUUCUCUGAAUUUAGUUCAUUUCACAAAAUAUGCGCAAACAUCACUGAAUUUGUGUAACAACAUAGUUCAUAGGUUUUAGAAGUCUUCAUGUUAUCUUUUUGAGAUUAAUAUCUGCAGUUGUCAUCUCGUGGAACACACAAGUAUUUGACCCUAAAGAUUUAUAUAUACAUAUAACUAAUAUACCUUGUAGUAGUCAACUGCGAUGAAAUUAGCCCAUCGAUUUCCGGCUGCGCUGUAGCAUGUACUAGCCAUGUCAGUGAGGCCCUUGUUGUGCUGCAAACAUGCAGUCAGCUUCACAGGGACAGACGGAAAGUAGUUCAUGAGGACCAGUGACUUGGUCUUGUCGUUGAGCGGCGCGGACUCUGCACGGUUCGAGCAUUCGCCAGCAUCCAUUCCAUCGUCGCCAUCUUCAACACAGUGAAAUCAAUCAAUUUCAGAGCAACGAUACUUGAGAUAGUGAGGAACUGCAGCAUAAUGUUUCGUGCGAAAGAAGUAGUGUCUCACAAUUGUUCUCAACCAUGAAAUUCCACUGGUAUGCGAUUCCUUCUGUGACUUGCUUCGAUCUGGCAGAGGUGAACACAAGGAGACGCUGGUUGCUUGUGACCAUAUCACUGACAAGAGGCCAGUCCUGACCAUUCUGCGGCAUUUUCGAAACCGGAAACCAGUACUUUUGCAGGCCAGAGGUAUUGAACACGUUCGUCAGGCCAUUUGGCGCGUUAACAUAGUCUUCCAGGAUCAAUGUAACGAUUUCAGAUGGGUUGGCAGAAAGAAAUGCCUCAAUUUCCUUGAAUGUGUCCAGUGCUGGUUCCUACAAUCAAGUAAUAAUAUUAUUUACAGACACCAUUCUGGAACUCUAUAUGGAGAUGAGGGAGGCAGGCAUAUUCAGUAGUAUGUACUCACAAAUGCAGUAAAAUCGUUGCAUUUGCCUCCACUGGAAUGGCACAACCAUACAUCUCCUUUGAAGUCAUAUGUGUCAAGCAUUAGCGCGCGGACACCAUUCUGUAGAACAUUGGGAUUGUGAAGAGAAUUAAUGCUCGUAAGGUAGGACAUGUAGAACAACAGAAGAAUCUUAUCAGAUGACGCAGAAGCUACAUUCAACUGAUCGGUGACUGUAUCCUCCUGGUUGUCGAAGGUGAUGCGUGGAAUUCCGGUGUGCGACGGUUCCCCAACAAUCGCGAAUGAAUUGUGUGUCGUGAGAUAGGCAUACUUGUUGAAUGGCAACGAGUUAUUCUGAAGAACAAACCAGAAGCAAAGCAAAUUCAGGAUAAAACAUUAGGACUAUGAAUAGAAGCUAUUUUCAUCAUGAUUUUCUUGGGUACUGAGUAUAAACAAGUCCUGUAAUCCUAACUGGGUAUUUUGAGAAGUACUCCCUCCGUCCCAUAAUGUAGUGUCAAAAAAACGUCUUAGAUUAUGGGACGGAGUAGUAUUACACUUACUCGAUUUUGAGAGAAAAUUAGGCCAUAAAGCCCUGUCAUAUCUUACUGAGAUCUCUAUGCAUGUUGAGAAUGUGAUGCCAAUAUACAGCUGUCAGGGUUACAUAAUAAAUAUAAUUAUGGAAGUAUCCUAAUAAAAUCCCUCGUUUUGUCAGAAUGGACUGAACAAGAGAAUCUUUGCUGUCAGGUGAACUACAAUCUGCCCGUCUCAUUAACCACAUUCUGUUUGUUUCAGAAACAGAUCUGGUCAAUCAAGAAUUUGUGGAAAGAGGAAUACAGGAACUCAAAAUUUGUUCUUGUUCCUUCUCUGACACAGGAAAAAAGAAGAAGAAGAGACAAACGACUGGAAGAAUUAAGCAAGCUCUUACAACAAGUUGGAAGGGGUUGGUGGCGGCGGAGCGGACGCAGUGGGAGCCGGCGAGCUCCGGCUCGCAGUCGAAGCACCACUGCCCCGCGCCGCAGUCCGCACUCGUCAAGCACUUGUCGCCUAUCUGAAUUCAAAUCGAACCCAAAGCUCAAUUUUAGCAGAAAAUCAUGGUGACCUGAUGAGGGGUAGAUUAAUUUCAUCACAGUUCUUGCUGGAAUCUUACAUUGGCAGUUGCAGCACCAAAAAGGCCAGCCAUGACUAGAACCAGUGCCGCCGCCGCUGCUGCUGCCGUAAAGGUGCCUCCCAUCUGAAAGCUAUAGAGAAAGAGGAGAAGAGGAACAGAAAAGGAUAACACCAACCAACCAAACAAUCAAUUAUUGGCUAGAGAGAUAGAGAAGGAGUUGUUGGGGGAAGAGGUGAGGGGUGAUUGUUAGCAUUGUCAUACUACGUAUAUAUACUAGAUCUGCUUGACCUUGUCUAUUCCUCGCAGCAGCAAUAUAUCCUGUAUUUAGUACGAAGAAGGCCGUGCACGUUUGGCAAAUCGAAUAAGAUAAGAUUGCAAUAUUGAACUACUUCUAAAGAAUGGCAUUCCAAAGAAAGCAACUAAUUAUUCUCACCCAAAAAAAGAAAGCAAGUGAUUAAGAGACGGCAUGCCAUUGUUUAGCAGUAUGCUAUUUCUCAUUUGGGCGAGAAUUUUAAAUGAUAGAGAGGACCUGGAACCGGAAAAGAAAUGUGUGGGUUGCUGACCUGGUGUGCCAAGGAAACCGACCGUGUUGUUCUUGUGUUCUUGCUCAGAGGCCGGGCGAUUUGUUCAAGUUCAAAGAAGCGAGCAACCGGGUGGGUGUUACUUCCAAGGUGGUUGGUUUGUUUCUUGGGUGGCCAAGACUUUGUUAUUCCUCAGGUAGUUGUUUGUACCAUGCUGAUGAUGAUGCGGUCGGGACAUGGGAGCCGCCGUCAGGCUAAUUAACAGGUCGACGCUCAUAGACAGACAUUAAUGAAUUGUGUAGCAGCCAACAACAUACUAACAUGUCAAAUUUGGAAUAUCCAUGGCAUAUAUAUAUACUUUUUGGUGGCCUGAAAUGUGUACUACCUACCACCUUAACUCACGAUAACGAUAGCCAACCACGAUUUUGUUCACCAGUGAGAUGUGAUCACUAGCUAAAGAUGUGAAAAUGACUGCUACAUAUCUGAUGAUCACUAGCUAAAAUUUUCACUUGCAAACAACUUACAGUAAGUCGUAAAACGGAGCCUGGAACAGUUGCAGUUAUAUUAUUCCCCUAUCUGGAAUGAAGAUACAGCUCCAGUUGCGUCUGUAAAAUGAUCGAAUAAGGAACUCGAAAUCUGACAGAAAGAGGGGGGAAAUUCAAUCAAAUCGAAGCGCACCUGUAGCAGAGAUGCAAGCUCCAGUUCCUCAAGAGCUCACCUGCAACAGCAACAUGGUUGUACAUGGCGCCGUCGCCGGAGAUGGGCGCCGUUCCCCACACGGCCAGUCCGGCAGGAACAGCGCGGCGGACUGCGUUCGGGCAGCAGCCGGUGUGGCCGCAGGAGAUUCGAAGAAGCCGCCUUUGCCCUCGUGCUGUGGCAGCCGGCGGCGGGGAAGAAAGCAGAGCUCGCGGCGGCCGGCGUCCAGCUCCUUGCGUUUGGGCUCGCUCACAGGCCGGACACUUGCUGCAGGCUAAAGCGAAAAACCAUCUUCCUCAGGCAUCGACCCGCCUGAGCUAUAUCUCGCCUAGUGCGAGAUAGAACACCGUCUCACCUCUAGCACUUUCACUAGAUCGCCGGCCCAAUAAGGUGUGGACGGUGCAGUUACUACUAUAGAGAUUUAAAUGAAGGAUCUUUUGGUGCUGUUUGCAGAAACUCAGAGGGAAUUUUUUUGGAAGCCUCAUGCAUGAAGUAUAGCGGGAUGAUCGAUCCCGCCACUCUGGAGGGGUUGGCAUGCCGUGAAGCCCUGGGCGCUGGCAGCAAAUCUCCAGUUGACUAGAGUGGUGAUUGCAUUUGACUGCCAAGGUGUAGUUCGAGAUAUUUAGAACCAAACGGGAGGAAUGUAUGCACCGAUAGUUAGGGAGAUCAAUGAGACAGCUACAUAUUUUCAGCAGUGCUCCUUCGUAUUUGAAGGGCGAGAUUCAAAUGCAGAGGCACACAGGCUAGCUAAACAUGCUUUUGGUCUGGGGCCCGGGCGCCAUCUGUGGCUUAUAAACCUGCUAGACAUCGAUUGUAUUCCUAUGAACAUUGAUUGAAUAAAGCAAGUAUGUUUAGAUUAAAAAAACUGAAUCCCUAAAAAAAGAGCAACUAACUGAAGGGGUCACUUUUGAUAGCCUAGGAGCAUGCAAAGCGAUGCUUUCGGUCAUCGCCACAUGGCGCAUGUUGGGUGCUCCAUCUGGAUUUCAUUUUAAAAAAAAAUCUGCAGGCGUUUUUGGGUUUUUAGAUGGGUUUUUUGGUUUAUUCAGAUUUCUAUUUUUCGCAUGGUUUUCCCAAGGAUUUGGAGAAAAACAAUUACGCAAUUUGUUUCCGCGGGAUUUUUUUGUGCUUUCGUGAGAAGUACAAAUAUGCUUUCGCGAGAAGCAGAACUAUACUUCCCGGAGAAAAAAAUUGCUUCCACGAGAUAUGUUUGCUUCUCGUGGGGUCAAAGAUAUGUUUCCGUGAGAUGCAUGGAUCUACUUUCAUGAGAAACAAUGUUAUGCUUCUCGAAAAAAUGUGCUUUCACGAGAAGCACACGUGCUUUCUCAUGGAGGCACAUGUUUACUUUUAUGAGAAACACAGUUGUACUUCUUGAAAAGGAAAAAAUGCGUGCUUUCACAAGAUGAACAUAUUUGCUUUUCGUGGAGGCACAAAUUUGCUUCCGUGAGAAGCACAAUUGUGCUUCUUUGAAGAAAAUUAUGCUUCCAAAGGAAGCACAUAUUUGCUUCCACAAGAAGCACCACAAAUGUGCUUACAGGCUUCAGAUUUUUUUGCAUUUGUUUUUUUCCUAGUUUUUUGUCAAAAAGGUUCUUUAAAGCAUAUUAACACAGGAUCUAAUUUCUAAUAUAUCGACGCGAGAAAUAUAAAGGUGAAAAUGGUUCAAAAUUUGAAUGCAUGAUUCAAGAGAUAAAAUGUUUUGAAUAAAAGAAUACAAAAAAGAGAAAACCUCAAGUACAUGGAAAGUUUAAGUCAAGAUAUAAAUGACUUUUUUCCUUUUAAAUUUUACAUGGCAAGUUUAACUCAAGUACCAUGUCUAAAUUUGCCAUGUUUUUAGACAUCUCUAAAAUUUCGAUGACAAAACGAUAACUGAAACAUGUCAUCGAAAUUUGAGCUGCGGAAGCAGCACGUCAUGGUGCGUCCGGCUGGGCCCGUGAACUCUCGUCCCAGCUACAUGGGCAUGAAAAUGGUGCAUGAGUUCUAGUCACACUAGUAGAAAAGGUCCAUUUAUCUCGGUUCAUAAGCCCCAUUUGUCCCGGUUGGGGAACCGAGACUAAAGGGUCGUUAUUAAUGCUCUAGGCCUUUAGUCCCAGUUCUUAUACAAACCGGGACAGAUGGGCCUCCACGUGGCUGCUCCGGCGAGCCCAGGCAGGAGGGCCUUUGGUCCCGGUUGGUAGCACCAACCGGGACCAAUAAGCUUCCACGCGCCAGCAUUUUAGCGGCUGUUUUUUUAAAGGAGGUGGUUUAGGGGUUAAUUUAGGUUGAUAUAGGUAGCUAAUAGAGAGAUGUAUCCUCUGUUAUCUCCGUGCUACUGCUACUGCUAUGCCUAAACAUGACUUAGAUUGAGUGAGGCAAUAUGUGGUGCAUGUCGAAAGUAAUACUAAUCCUAACUUGAUCAAGUUUGGAUUGUACUACUUUCGACAUGCACCACAUGCAUGUUGCCUUCACUUCAAUCCAAGCCAUGUUCAUUUCAUCCACAGAUAUAUAAUAACUCUUCAUGCUCGCAUCAUACAUCAUCAUAAUAACAAGUCCUACUAAUCAUCAUCAUACAACUUCUACUCGUUAUUAAUAACAAGUCAUACGAUCAUCAUCCUAAUAGUCAUCAAAUCAACCCUACUUUGUUCUUAGCACAUGAUCAUCAGUAUUAGGUAGGGCCUAAAUACCCUCUUUAAGGUAAAAUAGCAUAAAACAAUAUAGACCCUGACUCUCCAUUAUGGAGAGAAUGGAGAUCAUCUUGUCUCCAAUUCUUGCGCUUCGCUUCCUUUUGCUUCCAAGAACCUCCUUACGACUGUCCAUAUAUUUUUUCCAUUUAUUGAUUAGCAUGUCUCCACUUCUUUGAGAAAUCCGGUAUGGACAGUUGAGAUUCGUAGGAUGACCUGGAUAUAUGUUCAAAACACGAAGGCUGCCAUUCUGAUACAUCAAAUGAGGCACACAAUUCUCUGGGAUUCUCUGUUAAAAAAUAUAGUAAUAACUUCAUAGUUAGCAAUGAUGUACUAGUUUUAUAAGUAUGCAAAAGAUGCACGGAUGUCGUAAAUAGUAAAAUAUCUUACCAGGGUAUCUCCAUGGUAGUUACCGUAGUUCAACACGUGCACUAGUAGCACGUAUUGACUAUAAUGUUGAGGAGUUUGAUUGUAAAUAUUGUAAUUCUCAAGAUCAGUACAAAAUCCGACCAGAUGAUUUUUCUCCUGAUAAGUUAACUCGGAGCCAUCGGUGUAGUGGGUUUUGUCUACCAUGUUCCGCACAUUGUUUGAACAAUCAAAAUAAGCUGUCAACUAUUUUGAAAUAAACAAUAUAAAUUAGCUAGUAAUUAACUAUGUUUAAGAAACUUACAUAGCGGUAGAACUGGAGACGUAUCAACAAGGACCCAAAUGUCCAUAUUGUCUUGCUCGAUUUCAGGAUCACCAAGAUCCAUGGUGACAAGCAUACCCUCAUCAAAACCAUACAUCUUGCAAAAUGCUUCCCAAUUUUUGCAACCAAAAUGGGUUAUGCUCUCAGCAUUAUACAGAUUUACUUCAAAAUCCACAUCAUGAUGGGUCCUUAGGUGAAUUUUCUUCGUUUCAAAAUUUUCAUGGUCUUCAAAAUCCAUCCUCUUCAAGACAUAGCGUCUUGCAUGGCAUGGGUAAGCUAUACUCAAAUUGUAAAAGAUGAAAAUUACACGUUGAAAUAGUUGAAGUCAUGCUUAAUUACGAAAAAAACACUUGUCGUCGUUGCGUACCGUUUCAACAUCGAAGGUCUCCUCGAGCUUAAUGCUGAAGCGUCGAUCAUUGUCCAGUUGAGGCAUGUCGCAAAACCUCAAUCGUCGUGGCACCACUCGCACUCCCCCGGGAGACUUUCGUCGUCCGAUGAUAAUAUUUCCUACGUUCAUAAUUCAAAGAUUAAACUUGUACAAUUAAAUAUAUGUACUACAAAAAAAAAUUAGAUCAUUAUUAUUCAUCACGGGUUGACUAUCGGUUUGUCGAGUCUUUUCUUGAAAACUCUUAGCUCACGUGGUGUAUACAUUCGACCGUUGGUGAUGGUCGCUCCUCCAUUUGUCCUCGAGUGCAUUACACCAAAAUGUCUAGCACACGGGAACGAAGGAGAAGCGACCCCCACGACAACAGUCGGGAUUCUUCGUCCUCUCAUAUAUAUAUAUAUAUAUAUAUAUAUAUAUAUAUAUAUAUAUAUAUAUAUAUAUAUCGUUUAAUUAUCUUUCUAAAAGAGGAUUUGGCUGGUCUCACCUUGAUGUCGGAGGGGGUCUGUGACACCCGGAUAAUUAUGCUACAAUAACCCUCUGCUAAUGAUGCCACGUCGCCUCGGUUACUGUUGAUAAACUCGCAUUGAUUCGAAACCAUUCCAAAUUCAAAAUCAAAAUCAAGUCAAACAGUAAAGAUUUUCAAAUAUUAAAACUGAAAUGUUCGGGUUGUGCCAAAUAAUGCAUAGGUAACUAUGGUGGAAAUACCACACUUUUAUAAAAGGUUUGAAUGCUCUAAAAUGGUUUAAGCGCUAACUAAAACAUUAUUUAAAUGCCUUUGGUAUUUUAUAAAAUACUAAACUAUUUUAUUUUGGGUUAAAACCUUUUAUGGCUGAGGGUUAUUUUGGAACGUUAUUUUAGGAGCUGUUGUCAUAUUUUACUAAGUAAAAAUAAUGUGGAACUAAAAUGAAAACAGAAAAGGAAAAUAAGUAAAAAGAAAAAAAAGAAAACACAAAUAAACAAAAACCAAAAGAAAUAAAAAGAAAUCCCCCACUGGGCCACGGCCCAGCUGGCCUCUGCACCCACCAGGCCGGUCCAAACGGCCCAGCCGCCCCCCACCUGCGCUCAACCCCACUCGGUCGCCUUCCACCUCGCUACAGGGGAAGCCGACCGAGGCGCGCCCGUCGGUCGUCCCCGACCACCUCGCCAUUCCCGACGGGGGAAGAUAAGGACGCCACCCCCUGCAGCCCCCUCGGCCAUCCUCGCCUCCCCUCCACUUGCCUCUCCCACUUCUUCCCCACACUCGCCCCUCUUCCCGAUCUGGAGGAGACCACCGCCACCGUCGCCAUGGCUGGCGUCUUCCUCGCGCCCACCGACCACCCCUUGGCCUAGGACCUUGUUCAGGAGCCCGGCUGCGUCCCUCUGCUUCGUCCGCGCCGAAGAACGCGAGCACCGCGCCACCGCAUCGACUGAAUCGACCUCAUCCUCCCCAUAGCUGCUGCUGGCGAUCUUCUUCGGAUCCGGCGACGCCUGCUGCUCCUAAACUAUCGACGGGUCCUCGUGUGCCUACACAGUGAGCUCCUCUGCCGAUUCCCCCCUUUUCACUUUCCGUUCGUCGCCGUUUGUCGUCGUCACCCAGCUCGGACGUCCUCGUCCAUGGCCAUACUCAAGUUUCCGCGUACGCGCGCGCCCCCGGCGGCUCGCGCGCCUUAGCCGUCCGCCGCCACGGUCCUGCUGCUUGCUAGCCGCGCUGCUGCUUCGCGGCUUGACCGCUGCUCUGCUGCUGCUGACGCCCGCUGCCGUAGCCGGCCGCUGCUGUUGCCUGAUGCUGCUGCUCCUUGCUGAUGUCGCCGCCGCUGCCUGUGCGCGCUGGUGCCCACUGUGGCCCGUGCUUGCUGGCCGCGACCCGCGCGCCAUGCCCAUCGCUGUUCCCGGCCGCCCCUGGUGCGCUCACCUUGUGCCUGCAUCUGGCUGUGUCCAUGGCGCCGUGCGCGUGUGCGUACAUGUGUGCCCAACCAUCAGUGAGCCACGGCUGGUACUCUGCCUGAUGAGGCCGACCUAUUUUAGCUAAGGAUUAAUACGAGUUUAAUUAGGGAUUGAUUAGUGGUUAGGUUAGCGUCUUGACCCCAUGACUAGUGGAUCCUAUUCACUUAAUUAGUCCAUUAACAAAUUCUAAUGACUUGUGUCACUGAAGAGUGGUCCCCACCUGCAGUUUGACUGGUCAAGUUUGACCAGUCAACAGUCAAUAUGUUGACCGCUAACUGGACCACUGACUCAGCCCUUGGACCCCACUGUCAGACUCUGCUGACUUGGCAGUUGACCCAGUCAACAAGCCCCACCUGUCAGCUUCACUAGCACCUCUUUGGGUACACUUCUGUGUAUCCAUAGCAUUUAUUAUUUAAAUGUAUUUCGAAUUAAAUUAAAUCCAAAAAAUCUAGAAAAUGAUUAAAUAUUUAUAAAUUAAUAGAAAAUAAACUGUAACUCGGAUGAAAAAGUUUUAUACAUGAAAGUUGCUCAGAACGAUGAGACAAAUCCGGAUACGCAGCCUGUUCGUCCGCCACGCAUCCCUAGUAUAGCGAACACGUAACUUUCCUCCUUCGGUUCAUCUGUCCGAAAACGCGAAACACCGAGGAUAUUUUCCCGGAUGUUUCCCCCCUUCACCGGUACCACCUCAUACCGCGAUAGGGUACCCCUAGCACCGCUACUUGUCUUGUCAUGCAUCGUUAUGCAUCUGUUUGCAUUAUAUUCAUUGUUUCUUCCCCCUCUUCUCUACGAUAGACUACGAGACUGGCGCCGCUGCUACCCAGUACGACUACGGUGUUGACGACCCUUCCUUGCCAGAGCAAUCAGGCAAGCCCCCCCCCCCUUGAUCACCAGAUAUCGCCUAUUUUUCUCUAUACUGCUUGCAUUAGAGUAGUGUAGCAUGUUACUGUUUUCCGUUAAUCCUAUCCUGAUGCAUAGCCUGUCCUUGCUACUACUUUUGUUACCCUUACCUGCUAUCCUACUGCUUAGUAUAGGAUGCUAGUGUUCCAUCAGUGGCCCUACACUCUUGUCCGUCUGCCAUGCUAUACUGCUGGGCCGUGAUCACUCGGGAGGUGAUCACGGGCAUAUGCUAUAUACUUUAUACUGUUACAUUACUUAUGAUACUGUUCGGAGAUGGGGGCUGAAGGGGCAGGUGGCUCCACCCCGGUAGAGGUGGGCCUGGGUUCUCGACGGCCCCGACUGUUACUUUGUGGCGGAGCGACAGGGCAGGUUGAGACCACCUAGGAGAGAGGUGGGCCUGGCCAUGUUCGGCGUUCGCGGAUACUUAACACGCUUAACGAGAUCUUGAUAUUUGAUCUGAGUUGGGUCGUUGACCUUAUACGCACUAACCGCCACGUGGGACAAGAUAUGGGUAACCGGCGUCGUGGUAUCAGCCGAAGCAUUUCGUGACGUCAGCGACUGAGCGGCGCGCGCCGGAUUGGAAUGUAAGCCUGCUCUUGUAUUAAGGGGGCUAGUUCUGCUUCUGGCCGCGUUCGCAACGUGCAGGUGUGCUAAGGGCGAUGGGCCCAGACCCCUGUGCGCUUAGGUUUAGACCGGCGUGCUGACCCCUCUGUUGUGCCUAGGUGGGGCUGCGACGUGUUGAUCUUCCGAGGCCGGGCAUGACCCAGGAAAGUGUGUCCGGCCAAAUGGGAUCGAGCGUGUCGGGUAAUGUGGUGCACCCUUGCAGGGAAGUUAAUCUAUUCGAAUAGCCGCGAUCUUCGGUAACAGGACGACUUGGAGUUGUACCUUGACCUUAUGACAACUAGAACCGGAUACUUAAUAAAACACACCCUUCCAAGUGCCAGAUAUAACCCGAUGAUCGCUCUCACACAGGGCAACGAGGGGAGGAUCGCCGGGUAGGUUUAUGCUAUGCGAUGCUACUUGAUGAACUUACCAUCUACUCUCUUCUACAUGCUGCAAGAUGGAGGCUGCCAGAAGCGUAUUCUUCGAUAGGACUAGCUAUCCCCCUCUUAUUCUACCAUUCUGCAGUUCAGUCCACCGAUAUGGCCCCUUUACACAUAUACCCAUGCAAUAUGUAGUGUAGAUCCUUGCUUGCGAGUACUUUGGAUGAGUACUCACGGUUGCUUUUCUCCCUCUUUUUCCCCCUUUCCCUUCUACCUGGUUGUCGCAACCAGAUGCCGGAGCCCAGGAGCCAGACGCCACCGUCGACGACGACUCCUACUACACUGGAGGUGCCUACUACUACGUGCAGACCGUCGACGAUGACCAGGAGUAGUUUAGGAGGAUCCCAGGCAGGAGGCCUGCGCCUCAUUCGAUCUGUAUCCCAGUUUGCGCUAGCCAUCUUAUGGAAAACUUGUUUAACUUAUGUCUGUACUCAGAUAUUGUUGCUUCCGCUGACUCGUCUAUGAUCGAGCACUUGUAUUCGAGCCCUCGAGGCCCCUUGCUUGUAUUAUGAUGCUUGUAUGACUUAUUUAUGUUUUAGAGUUGUGUUGUGAUAUCUCCCCGUGAGUCCCUGAUCUUGAUCGUACACGUUUGCGUGCAUGAUUAGUGUACGAUUGAAUCGGGGGCGUCACAGGGUCGGUGAUGGGGAUGACGAUGGGGAUGAUGGAGGGGCCGGGGUGUUGGGGAACGUUGCAAAAAACAAAAAAUUUCCUACGGUUUCACCAAGAUCCAUCUAUGAGUUCAUCUAGCAACGAGUGAUCGGAGCGCAUCUACAUACCUUUGUAUAUCGCGAGCGGAAGCGUUCAAAGAACGGGGAUGAGGGAGUCGUACUCGUCGUGAUCCAAAUCAUCGGAGAUCCUAGCGCCGAACGGACGGCACCUCCGCGUUCAACACACGUACGGUCAGCGUGACAUCUCCUCCUUGAUCCAACAAGGGGGAAGGAGAGGUUGAUGAAGAUCUAGCAGCACGGCGGCGUGGUGGUGGAUGCAGCAGUCACCGCAGUAGGGCUUCGCCGAGCUUCUGCGAGAGGGAGAUGUGUAGCAGGGGAUAGGGAGGCGCCAAGGCUUGAGUGUGCUGCUGCCCCUCCCUCCCCCCUUUAUAUAGGCCCCCUGGGGGGGCGCCGGCCCUGGAGAUGAGAUCUCCCAAGGGGGGCGGCGGCCAGGGGGGGUGGAGUACCCCCCAAGGCAAGUGGAGGCGCCCCCACCCUAGGGUUUCCAACCCUAGGCGCAGGGGGUGGGCCAAGGGGGGCGCACCAGCCCACUAUGGGCUGGUUCCCCUCCCCACUUCUGCCCAUGGGGCCCUCCGGGAUGGGUGGCCCCAUCCGGUGGUCCCGGUACAAUACCGGUAACCCCGAAUCUUUCCCGAUGGCCGAAACUGCACUUCCCAUAUAUAAUUCUUCACCUCCGGACCAUUCCGGAACUCCUCAUGACGUCCGGGAUCUCAUCCGGGACUUCGAACAACUUUCGGAUUACUGCAUACUCAUAUCUCUACAACCCUAGCGUCACCGAACCUUAAGUGUGUAGACCCUACGGGUUCGGGAGACAUGCAGACAUGACCGAGACGCCUCUCCGGCCAAUAACCAACAGUGGGAUCUGGAUACCCAUGUUGGCUCGCACAUACUCCUCGAUGAUCUCAUCGGAUGAACCACGAUGUCGAGGAUUCAAUCAAUCCCGUAUACAAUUCCCUUUGUCAAUCGGUAUUUUACUUGCCCGAGAUUCGAUCGUCGGUAUCCCAAUACCUCGUUCAAUCUCGUUACCGGCAAGUUACUUUACUCGUACCGUAAUGCAUGAUCCCGUGAUCAAACACUUUGAUCACUUUGAGCUCAUUAUGAUGAUGCAUUACCGAGUGGGCCCAGUGAUACCUCUCCGUCAUACGGAGUGACAAAUCCCAGUCUUGAUCCGUGUCAACCCAACAGAUACUUUCGGAGAUACCCGUAGUAUACCUUUAUAGUCACCCAGUUACGUUGUGACGUUUGGUACACCCAAAGCACUCCUACGGUAUCCGGGAGUUACACGAUCUCAUGGUCUAAGGAAAAGAUACUUGACAUUGGAAAAGCUCUAGCAAACGAACUAUACGAUCUUGUGCUAUGCUUAGGAUUGGGUCUUGUCCAUCACAUCAUUCUCCUAAUGAUGUGAUCUCAUUACCAAUGACAUCCAAUGUCCAUAGUCAGGAAACCAUGACUAUCUGUUGAUCAACGAGCUAGUCAACUAGAGGCUUACUAGGGACAUGUUGGUGUCUAUGUAUUCACACAUGUAUUACGAUUUCCGGAUAACACAAUUAUAGCAUGAAUAAAAGACAAUUAUCAUGAACAAGGAAAUAUAAUAAUAAUCCUUUUAUUAUUGCCUCUAGGGCAUAUUUCCAACAGUCUUCCACUUGCACUAGAGUCAAUAAUCUAGUUACAUUGUGAUGAAUCGAACACCCAUAGAGUUCUGGUGUUGAUCAUGUUUUGCUCGCGGAAGAGGUUUAGUCAACGGAUCUGCGACAUUCAGAUCCGUAUGCACUUUGCAAAUUUCUAUGUCUCCAUCUUGAACAUUUUCACGAAUGGAGUUGAAGCGACGCUUGAUGUGUCUGGUCUUCUUGUGAAACCCGGGCUCCUUGGCAAGUGCAAUAGCUCCAGUGUUGUCACAGAAGAGUUUGAUCGGCCCCGACGCAUUGGGUAUGACUCCUAGGUCAGUGAUGAACUCCUUCACCCAAAUUGCUUCAUGCGCUGCCUCUGAGGCUGCCAUGUACUCCGCUUCACAUGUAGAUCCCGCCACGACGCUCUGCUUGCAGCUGCACCAGCUUACUGCUCCACCAUUCAACAUAUACAUGUAUCCGGUUUGUGACUUAGAGUCAUCCAGAUCUGUGUCGAAGCUAGCGUCGACGUAACCCUUUACGACGAGCUCUUCGUCACCUCCAUAAACGAGAAACAUGUCCUUAGUCCUUUUCAGGUACUUCAGGAUAUUCUUGACCGCUGUCCAGUGUUCCUUGCCGGGAUUACUUUGGUACCUUCCUACCAAACUUAUGGCAAGGUUUACAUCAGGUCUGGUACACAGCAUGGCAUACAUAAUAGACCCUAUGGCUGAGGCAUAGGGGAUGACACUCAUCUCUUCUAUAUUUUCUGACGUGGUCGGACAUUGAGCUGAGCUCAAUUUCACACCUUGCAACACAGGCAAGAACCCCUUCUUAGACUGAUCCAUAUUGAACUUCUUCAAUAUCUUAUCAAGGUAUGUGCUUUGUGAAAGACCUAUGAGGCGUCUUGAUCUAUCUCUAUAGAUCUUGAUGCCUAACAUAUAAGCAGCUUCUCCAAGGUCCUUCAUUGAAAAACUCUUAUUCAAGUAUGCCUUAAUGCUGUCCAAAAGUUCUAUAUCAUUUCCCAUCAAAAGUAUGUCAUCUACAUAUAAUAUGAGAAAUGCUACAGAGCUCCCACUCACUUUCUUGUAAACGCAGGCUUCUCCAUAAGUCUGCAUAAACCCAAACGCUUUGAUCAUCUCAUCAAAGCGAAUGUUCCAACUCCGAGAUGCUUGCACCAGCCCAUAAAUGGAUCGCUGGAGCUUGCAUACCUUGUUAGCAUUCUUAGGGUCGACAAAACCUUCCGGCUGCAUCAUAUACAGUUCUUCCUUAAGAUAACCGUUAAGGAAUGCCGUUUUGACGUCCAUUUGCCAUAUCUCAUAAUCAUAGUAUACGGCAAUUGCUAACAUGAUUCAGACGGACUUCAGCUUCGCUACGGGAGAGAAAGUCUCAUCGUAGUCAACCCCUUGAACUUGCCGAUAACCCUUAGCGACAAGUCGAGCUUUAUAGAUGGUAACAUUACCAUCCGCGUCCGUCUUCUUCUUAAAGAUCCAUUUGUUUUCUAUCGCUCGCCGAUCAUCGGGCAAGUCUGUCAAAGUCCAUACUUUGUUUUCAUACAUGGAUCCUAUCUCGGAUUGCAUGGCUUCUAGCCAUUUGUUGGAAUCUGGGCCUGCCAUCGCUUCUUCAUAGUUCGAAGGUUCACCGUUGUCUAACAACAUGAUUUCCAGGACAGGGUUGCCGUACCACUCUGGUGCGGAACGUGUCCUUGUGGACCUACGAAGUUCAGUAGUAACUUGAUCUGAAGUUUCAUGAUCAUCAUCAUUAACCCCCUCUCUAAUCGGUGGAGGCACCACAGAAACAUUUUCUUGAGCUGCGCUACUCUCCGGUUCAAGAGGUAAUACUUCAUCAAGUUCCACUUUCCCCCCACUUACUUCUUUCGAGAGAAACUCUUUCUCCAGAAAGGAUCCGUUCUUGGCAACAAAGAUCUUGCCUUGGAUCUAAGGUAGAAGGUAUACCCAAUGGUUUCCUUAGGGUAUCCUAUGAAGACGCAUUUUUCCGACUUGGGUUCGAGCUUUUCAGGUUGAAGUUUCUUGACAUAAGCAUCGCAUCCCCAAACUUUUAGAAACGACAGCUUAGGUUUCUUCCCAAACCAUAAUUCAUACGGUGUCGUUUCAACGGAUUUAGACGGUGCCCUAUUUAAAGUGAAUGCAACUGUCUCUAGAGCGUAUCCCCAAAAUGAUAGCGGUAAAUCAGAAAGAGACAUCAUAGAUCGCACCAUAUCCAACAGAGUGCGAUUAUGACGUUCGGACACACCGUUACGUUGAGGUGUUCCAGGCGGCAUGAGUUGUGAAACGAUUCCACAUUUCCUUAAGUGUGUGCCAAAUUCGUGACUUAAAUAUUCUCCUCCACGAUCUGAUCGUAAGAACUUUAUUUUUCGGUCACGUUGAUUCUCUACCUCAUUCUAAAAUUCCUUGAACUUUUCAAAGGUCUCAGACUUGUGUUUCAUCAAGUAGACAUACCCAUAUCUACUCAAGUCAUCAGUAAGAGUGAGAACAUAACGAUAUCCUCCGCGAGACUCAACACUCAUUGGACCGCACACAUCAGUAUGUAUGAUUUCCAAUAAGUUGGUUGCUCGCUCCAUUGUUCCGGAUAACGGAGUCUUGGUCAUUUUGCCCAUGAGGCAUGGUUCGCAUGUGUCAAAUGAUUCAUAAUUGAGAGACUCUAAAAGUCCAUCAACACGGAGCUUCUUCGUGCGCUUGACACCAAUGUGACCAAGGCGGCGGUGCCACAAGUAUGUAGGACUAUCGUUAUCAACUUUACAUCUUUUGGUAUUCACACUAUUAAUAUGUGUAACAUCACGUUCGAGAUUCAUUAAGAAUAAACCAUUGACCAUCGGAGUAUGACCAUAAAACAUAUCUCUCAUAUAAAUAGAACAACCAUUAUUCUCGGAUUUAAAUGAGUAGCCAUCUCGAAUUAAACGAGAUCCUGAUACAAUGUUCAUGCUCAAACUUGGCACUAAAUAACAAUUAUUGAGGUUUAAAACUAAUCCCGUAGGUAAAUGUAGAGGUAGCGUGCCGACGGCGAUCACAUCGACCUUGGAACCAUUCCCGACGCGCAUCGUCACCUCGUCCUUCGCCAGUCUCCGCUUAUUCCACAGCUCCUAUUUUGAGUUACAAAUAUGAGCAACGACACAGGUAUCAAAUACCCAGGAGCUACUACAAGCACUGGUAAGGUACACAUCAAUUACAUGUAUAUCACAUAUACCUUCAGUGUUGCCGGCCUUCUUGUCCGCUAAGUAUUUGGGGCAGUUCCGCUUCCAGUGACCCUUCCCUUUGCAAUAAAAGCACUCAGUCUCAGGCUUGGGUCCAUUCUUUGACUUCUUCCCGACAACUUGCUUACCGGGCGCGGCAACAUCCUUGCCGUCCUUCUUGAAGUUCUUCUUGCCCUUGCCUUUCUUGAACUUGGUGGUUUUAUUGACCAUCAACACUUGAUGUUCCUUUUUGAUUUCUACCUCCGCUGAUUUCAGCAUUGAAAAUACUUCAGGAAUGGUCUUUUCCAUCCCCUGCAUAUUGUAGUUCAUCACAAAGCUCUUGUAGCUAGGUGAGAGCGACUGAAGGAUUCUGUCAAUGACCGCAUCAUCCGGGAGAUUAACUCCCAGCUGAGUCAAGCGGUUGUGCAACCCAGACAUCUUGAGUAUGUGUUCACUGACAGAACUAUUUUCCUCCAUCUUACAACUGUAGAACUUGUCGUAGACUUCAUAUCUCUCGACCCGGGCAUGAGCUUGGAAAACGAUUUUCAUCUCUUCGAACAUCUCAUAUGCUCCGUGUUGCUCAAAACGCUUUUGGAGCCCCGCUUUUAAGCUGUAAAGCAUGCCGCACUGAACGAGGGAGUAAUCAUCAGCACGCUGCUGCCAAGCGUUCAUAACGUCUUGGUUCUCUGGGAUGGGUGCUUCACCUAGCAGUGCAUCUAGGACAUAUUGUUUCCUGGCAGCUAUGAGGAUGAUCCUCAAGUUCCGGACCCAGUCUGUAUAGUUGCUGCCAUCAUCUUCCAUCUUGGUUUUCUCUAGGAACGCGUUGAAGUUGAGGUUGACAUUAGCCUGGGCCAUUUGAUCUACAAGACAUAUUGCAAAGUUUAUUUAGACUAAGUUCAUGAUAAUUAAGUUCAUCUAAUCAAAUUACAUAAUGAACUCCCACUCAGAUUAGAUAUCCCUCUAGUCAUCUAAGUGAAACAUGAUCCGACUCGACUAGGCCGUGUCCGAUCAUCACGUGAGACGGACUAGUCAUCAUCGGUGAACAUCUCCAUGUUGAUCGUAUCUUUCAUACGACUCAUGUUCGACCUUUUGGUCUCUUGUGUUCCGAGGCCAUGUCUGUACAUGCUAGGCUCGUCAAGUUAACCUAAGUGUUUGCAUGUGUAAAUCUGUCUUACACCCGUUGUAUGUGAACGUUGGAAUCUAUCACACCCGAUCAUCACGUGGUGCUUCGAAACAACAAACUGUCGCAACGGCGCACAGUUAGGGGGAACACUUUCUUGAAAUUAUUAUGAGGGAUCAUCUUAUUUACUACCGUCAUUCUAAGUAAACAAGAUGCAAAAACAUGAUAAACAUCACAUGCAAUCAAAUAAUAGUGACAUGAUAUGGCCAAUAUCAUAUAGCUCCUUUGAUCUCCAUCUUGGGGCUCCAAGAUCAUCUUGUCACCGGCAUGACACCAUGAUCUCCAUCAUCGUGUCUUCAUGAAGUUGCUCGCCAACUAUUACUUCUACUACUAUGGCUAACACAUUUAGCAAUAAAGUAAAGUAAUUUACAUGGCGUUUCUCAAUGACACGCAGGUCAUACAAAAAAUAAAGACAACUCCUAUGGCUCCUGCCGGUUGUCAUACUCAUCGACAUGCAAGUCAUGAUUCCUAUUACAAGAACAUGAUCUCAUACAUCACAUAUAUCGUUCAUCAUUCAUCACAACUUUGGCCAUAUCACAUCACAAAACACUUGCUGCAAAAACAAGUUAGACGUCCUCUAAUUGUUGUUGCAAGUUUUACGUGGCUGCAAUAGGGUUCUAUCAAGAACGUUUUCUUACCUACGUAAAAACCACAACGUGAUUUGUCAACUUCUAUUUACCCUUCAUAAGGACCCUUUUCGUCGAAUCCGCUCCAACUAAAGUGGGAGAGACAGACACCCGCCAGCCACCUUAUGCAACUAGUGCAUGUCAGUCGAUGGAACCGGUCUCACGUAAGCGUACGUGUAAGGUUGGUCCGGGCCGCUUCAUCCCACAAUACCGCUAAAGCAAAAUAAGACUAGUAGAGGCAAGAAAGUUGACAACAUCUACGCCCACAACAAAUUGUGUUCUACUCGUGCAAAGAGAACUACGCAUAGACCUAGCUCAUGAUGCCACUGUUGGGGAACGUUGCAGAAAACAAAAAUUUUCCUACGGUUUUACCGAGAUCCAUCUAUGAGUUCAUCUAGCAACGAGUGAUCGGAGUGCAUCUACAUACCUUUGUAGAUCGCGAGCGGAAGCGUUCAAAGAACGGGGAUGAGGGAGUCGUACUCGUCGUGAUCUAAAUCACCGGAGAUCCUAGCGCCGAACGGACGACACCUCCGCGUUCAACACACGUACGGUCAGCGUGACAUCUCCUCCUUCUUGAUCCAGCAAGGGGGAAGGAGAGGUUGAUGAAGAUCCAGCAGCACGACGGCGUGGUGGUGGAUGCAGUAGUCACCGCAGCAGGGCUUCGCCGAGCUUCUGCAAGAGGGAGAGGUGUAGCAGGGGAGAGGGAGGCGCCAAGGCUUGAGGGUGCUGCUGCCCCUCCCUCCCCCACUUUAUAUAGGCCCCCUGGGGGCGCCGGCCCUGGAGAUGAGAUCUCCCAAGGGGGGCGGCGGCCAGGGGGAUGGAGUACCCCCCAAGGCAAGUGGAGGCGCCCCCCACCCUAGGGUUUCCAACCCUAGGCGCAGGGGGUGGGCCAAGGGGGGCACACCAGCCCACUAUGGGCUGGUUCCCCUCCCCACUUCUGCCCAUGGGGCCCUCCGGGAUGGGUGGCUCCACCCGGUGGACCCCCGGGACCCAUCCGGUGGUCCCGGUACAAUACCGGUAACCCCGAAUCUUUCCCGAUGGCCGAAACUGCACUUCCUAUAUAUAAUUCUUCACCUCCGGACCAUUCCGGAACUCCUCGUGAUGUCUGGGAUCUCAUCCGGGACUCCGAACAACUUUUGGAUUACUGCAUACUCAUAUCUCUACAACCCUAGCGUCACCGAACCUUAAGUGUGUAGACCCUACGGGUUCGGGAGACAUGCAGCCAUGACCGAGACGCCUCUCCGGCCAAUAACCAACAGCGGGAUCUGGAUACCCAUGUUGGCUCCCACAUACUCCUCGAUGAUCUCAUCGGAUGAACCACGACGUCGAGGAUUCAAUCAAUCCAGUAUACAAUUCCCUUUGUCAAUCGGUAUUUUACUUGCCCGAGAUUCGAUCGUCGGUAUCCCAAUACCUCGUUCAAUCUCGUUACCGGCAAGUCACUUUACUCGUACCAUAAUGCAUGAUCCCGUGAUCAAACACUUUGAUCACAUUGAGCUCAUUAUGAUGAUGCAUUAUCGAGUGGGCCCAGUGAUACCUCUCCGUCAUACGGAGUGACAAAUCCCAGUCUCGAUCCGUGUCAACCCAACAGAUACUUUCGGAGAUACCCGUAGUAUAGCUUUAUAGUCACCCAGUUACGUUGUGACAUUUGGUACACCCAAAGCACUCCUACGGUAUCCGGGAGUUACACGAUCUCAUGGUCUAAGGAAAAGAUACUUGACAUUGGAAAAGCUCUAGCAAAUGAACUAUACGAUCUUGUGCUAUGCUUAGGAUUGGGUCUUGUCCAUCACAUCAUUCUCCUAAUGAUGUGAUCUCGUUACCAAUGACAUCCAAUGUCCAUAGUCAGGAAACCAUGACUAUCUGUUGAUCAACGAGCUAGUCAACUAGAGGCUUACUAGGGACAUGUUGGUGUCUAUGUAUUCACACAUGUAUUACGAUUUCCGGAUAACACAAUUAUAGCAUGAAUAAAAGACAAUUAUCAUGAACAAGGAAAUAUAAUAAUAAUCCUUUUAUUAUUGCCUCUAGGGCAUAUUUCCAACACGGGGCUCCUAGAUUUAUGUGAAAACAAAAACACUAUAAGCUAUCAACUAAUCAUAUGCAUAUGCCUUGCAUAGUGCUCUCCAAUUUUAGCAUUCAAAGUAGGAGUAGUUUUUCCAAUUUGAGCAUUCAAUAAGCAAAAUCAAAUCACAAAAUAAAGUAGUAUUCAAAUUAGGAUGCAUUCAAUUAUAAGCAAAACUACAUCAUCUCCAUGCGUCCGUACAUCGUCGAAUAUUAUCACUAAUACACCUCGAAUACUAUCAGACAUAUAGCAUCACCAGUACAACUAGAACCGUAGCACCCGGCGGGUAUCGGCGCGGGCGGUGGACACCCAAAGGGAAGGAACCAUCACAGGAUCAUAGCUCCAGUGAGAUCCCUGAAGAACCUGCCAGGUAUUGUCAAACCUGCCCUCCAACGCAACCAUGUAGCGACGGACGUGCUGGUCCUCCUCGCUGAUACGGUGACGUACCACCUCCGCGGUGUCCGGAAGCCUCGGCACCGUCACUGGCCCACGCGACCGCCACCAAACAAGGAUCGGGUCAACGACGGGCUGGCUCCUGACCAACCUACGCCCCCCGGAAGGUAGCACCUCCAAAAACCAGCCCGACGGAGCCCAGUCCCGGACAUGGCCCCUCUGAUCAAGCCGGCCUCCUCCGCCGAGUCGACGACGAGGAUGCGGGAUAGGCAUCGUCGACGUCGAUGCGGGAAUAAUUGCUUUAACUAAAAAAACAAACUAGUUCUAUUAAUUUCCUUACUAUAAAUAGAAUAAAGUAGUACUUACUAAAAAUAAACUAGCUAGUUUAACUAGUUCUAUUAUUUUUCUAACUAAUUCUAUUAAACACUUUCUAAGUAGUACUUACUAAAAGUUAUCGGGGAGGGGGUAUGUAUAUCGACAACGACAUACCCGAUAAAAAAAUAAGAAGAGGAAGAAGAAGAAGAAAAAGAGGAGAAGAAGAAAGUAAUAUUGAAAGUGCGUUAUAUCGACUAGAGGGGGGGGUGAAUAGGCGAUUUUUAUGAAAGUCUUCAAAACGUGGAAGUUAUGAAGACAAACAGUAGAGAUAUGCCUAUCACUAUGCAUCGGAAGUUAGAUUACACUAGACAACCCAUGGUCAAGUAUUCAAUAGAGUGAGAGCACAAUGACAAGUAGCUGCAGUAUAAUAAAGAUCGGGUAGGAAGAAGUUAUGAAGCCAAAAAAAAUCAUACAGUUACGUUCUGAAGACAAAAGAUAGAGCAAGCAUGCAAUGGCUUCACAAUGAGUAACAGUGAGUAAAAGGAAGUGAAGACGAAACCAGUGACUCGUUGAAGACAAUGAUUUGUUGGACCAGUUCCAGUUGCUGUGACAACUGUAUGUCUGGUUAGGGUGGCUAGGUAUUUAAACCAAAGGACACACAGUCCCGGACACCCAGUCCUGAACACGCAGCUCAGGACACCCAGUCCUCACCGUUUUCCCCUUGAGCUAAGGUCACACAGACCUCGCCCAAUCACUCUGGUAAGUCUUCAAGGUAGACUCCCAAACCUUCACAGACUUCGUUCACUGGCAAUCCACAAUGUCUCUUGGAUGCUCUGAACGCGACGCCUAACCGUCUGGAGGAUGCACAGUCCUCAAGUGUAAUAAGUCUUCAGAUCACUCAGACAAGAAGACUUAAGUGAUGCCCAAUUUACUCUGGCUCUGGGUGGUUAGGGAUUUUCUCCUCGCUAGGAAUUUUCUCUCAAAGGCUUCGAGGUGGGUUGCUCUCAAACGACAAAAGCCGUGCACUGAAAUCUGAGCAGCCAACCGUUUAUGGUUGUAGGGGGUGGACUAUUUAUAGCCACUGGGCAACCCGACCUGAUUUGUCCGAAAUGACCCUAGGUCACUAAGAACUGACACGUGUUCCAACGGCCAGAUUUCAAACUCACACAACAACUUUACUUGGGCUACAAGUAAAGCUGACUUGUCCGACUCUGGACAAGAUUUGCUCUCAUAGUCUUCGCUCGAAGACAUAGGAUUUGAAUUAGGCAUCACUUCAGUCAUUCUGACUGGUUCUCUUGGACCCCACUUUACAGUACGGUGGUUCCUAUGACUCAACACAAAUGAAAAAGAACUACGAAACAUCUAAGUCUUCGAGUUCCAUAGGCUUCAUGUGGUGUCUUCUCUUGUCAUAGUCUUCAAUGUGAAUAUCUUCAUAUACCACCAUUGUCUUCAAUGUCUUCGUACAUUUUUAGGGGUCAUUUCUGGUAGUAAAACCAAAUCAAUGAGGGACUUCUACCUGUGUUAUCCUGCACUUCUCACAAACACAUUAGUCCCUCAACUAGGUUUGUCGUCAAUACUCCAAAACCAACUAGGGGUGGCACUAGAUGCACUUACAAUCUCCCCCUUUUUGGUGAUUGAUGACAAACUAGUUGAAGUUUUCAACGGGAAUAUAAUCUGUGAAAUUGUAAAGGAAUUUUCUUCAUAAGCUGCAAGGGCUCCCCCUGAAGAUGUGCAUAUAAGUAAUUUGCUUCAGGAAUGCAAAUGCACAUGGCAGGUUGUACUUGUGGAGAUCCACUUCAACUUAUGAUGACAAUCCACUAUGCAUGUAAAAGUAUAUGAAGAUAAUGACAUGCAUAAUGAAAAAUGGACGUCUGCAGAAUGAUCUAAGUGCGGAAUUUAUCGUCGCCCAUGCGGAAUUUAUCUUCGCAAGACAAAGUGACAAACAAGUAGCAGACGACCAUCGAGUCUAAGUGUUACAACUCAAAGAAGCAAAUGUAGCAGAACGGGAGUUGUAAGCACGAAGCAAAAUGUAGCAAAAUAUAAGGCAUCCGCCCAUAUUGACCCGCUUGAAGACUAACAACAUCAUAUGCUUCUCCCCCUUUUGUCAGUGAUGACCAAAAAGGUUUGAAGACAUAGAGUGUUCUACGCAUUCCCAGGCACAACAGGGUCGUUGGAGUUGUUUGGCGGUGCUGAAGAGCUUGGUGCAGAGUCGACGCGCGCUGAAGGAGGUGGCGGUGAUGUAGCAUCGUCUUCUUCCUUGAUGAUUCUUGCAGUCACCGUGGCAGCAGAUGAAGAGAACUCUGAGUCUUCAAGUGAUGGAGUUCCGCGCAGCACAGCUCUUCUGGGGGGUGUGGAGUCAAACUUGAAUCUCUCUCUGAAGCCAUCCUCGUGAAGAUCAGCUUUAGAGCACAUCAUCGUGAGUCCUUUCCAGGUGCGGCGACAGGUUUCAUGUGCAACGAAUGCAUUCUUGGUGGCAAGAUUUCUGAUGCGAUUGACAUCCACCAAGAGGCUUUUCAUCUGUCUCUUCAGCCAGUCGUGAUGCCUAUCCUGCUUUUGGUGAAGGGCCACAAGAAGCUCUCGGUCAUGGAGGGCACGAGCGCGCUUCUUGGGUCUUUGAGCAGGUGUGUUGUCAGUGGCUUCAGUUGAUGCAGGGUGUGGUGCACGUGUAGUGCCAGCCAACGGAUACACCCUGGAGAUGGCUUCAACACCUUCAACGUUCUGAGUGAAGCUCUGGUGUUCUGCAUUCUGAAGACACAGAUGUUGCUUGGCAGGUUCGGGAUAGAUAGCUUCAGCAGAGGUAUCCACAUCUGGCAAGAAGAUUCGAUGGUUGCGGGCUGAGGGCUGAUAUGAGAUCGCAGAGUGAAGUUUGAUCAGCCUCAUUACCCACGGAGCAUAGAACUUCAAACCAAAUAAAUCUGAGCCUGAUGCAGCAAGCUGGCGUAUGAAGAAGUCCUGUGCGUUGAAGCAUUUGCCAUGAAGGAUACAGAAUAUCAGAGUCUUCAUUGCACCUUCGAUCUUGGCAUAUGGAGAGUGCCCUUUGAUAGGCCAGAGAGUCCGCCUGAUGAUGUGAUAGAUGGUUCUGGGAAGGUACUCAAGGUCUUCAACCAGGAACUCUGUUGGAUAAGGAGCAUUGUGGGGCAAUGGCUUCAUCAUGGAGAGCAUCUGACUCAUAUUCGGUUCAGGGCUCUGGAAUAUGCUCUCAAGAGCUUCAGUGUGUAGUUGACAGCCUUCCUCGAAGAAUUCGUCAGGAGUGGGCAGGCCGGUAAGCUCAAUGAUAUCAAAUGCAUUGGCUUCGUGAUGGUCAUUGCCGGUCAUCCACUCCAGGACCCAAGUCUUCGGAUCUCUGUUGUAUCCUUUAAUAUGGAGGGUGGCAUAGAAUUGCAACAUCAGCUCUUCAUUCCAGUGCUCUUCAUCAGUUACAAACUGCAGCAGACCCACUUGCUUAAAGCAAUCCAAAGCUUCCUCUAAACAGGGCAGACCAGCAAUGGCUUCAACAUCAAGGCGCAUGUGUGGGAAGAUGCGACCUUGGUUGUACAGGAUGCAUGAGUAGUAGCUGCGUUGAGGAUAGCUCUAGAACCUAUCUGAUGAAAUCCUUUCCCUUGAAUAGGGGUUCUUGGAGCUGUUGAAGAACGUAUUAUCUGCCUUGAAGCUAUUGAUGUUAAAGGAACCAAGUGCGGAUGCAGGACCUGGGAACCUCGGCAGUCUUGGGACUGGCUUCUGGACAUGAGGCCUGUGCUCAACAUGGUAAUCAAAUUGAGGACCUGCAGCAGACUCAGGAACAGAAGUGUCUGGAUCAGUAGCUUCACUGUCUUCUGAAGCUUUUGGUGGGGAGGGCUCCACAUUGGCUUCAGUGUUGGUUGUGGCAGCCCCAACAUUUUCAGCCUCCACUUGACGAGCUGGAGGGUCAGAUUCAGGCACGUUCUCCUGAAGAACUGCUUCUUGUUGGAGCAGGGGAGUUGGAGCUUGUGGUACUUCUUCAUUUUCUCCGGCUGAUGCAGCCGGAAUGUCGUCAGCAGAAUCUUGAGGCCGUGGUCCUUUGCAAAGCCUGCUGAAUGCAGACGACGCCUGUGGAGUUGGAGUGGGCUGGACCUCAGAGUCUUCUUCAACUUGUGGGCGAUCCGCCCAUGACGCAUCUUGUGCAAUUGGCGCCAGAGGACGACCAAUGCUAAUGAGUUCGCUUGUUUCAAGCUGAGGAAGGGCUGCAUCAUCUUGUACAUUGUCUUGAUGACCAAUGUCUUCAGCAGCGAUGGGGUCGGCUGCUGGAAUGUGUUCAGCUUCAGGAGCCUCUGUGGAAGCAGGCUCAUGAACUGUCAGUUGUCGUUCUGCGACAGGGUAGACGAUAGAGAGGGGUUCAACCAUCAAGGGCUCUGUGGGAGCAGCCCGAGCUUUCUUGAUCUUGCGCUUCUUCUUGGUGGGGUUAGAAGGAGAGGCUUCAGAGUGUUUCCUUUUUCUUGCUUCAGCCUCUGCAGUUCUUGUCUUCUUGAGCCCUGAAGCGGUUGACCGGCUCUUUGGCUUCGAGCCAGUCGUUGCAGUUGGGAAGACAAUUGGAGCUGCUUCUUGCCUUAGUGCCUCUGGUUUAGCCAUAGCAGGCUUCUUCUUCUUCUUGGCCAUCCUGGGGUCGAUGCCGGGACGCCCAAGUGCCUUGCACUUCUCGGCCUCAUUGUAGGCCUGCACACAUCUGUCUGCCAGAGUCUUCAUCCGCUCACGCGAACCUUGAGCUUCUGCAUGCUUCUUCAGAAAGUUUUCUUUUAGCUCGUGCAGCAUGACCUUGAAACUCUUCACUUCUUGCACGCUGAGCCUGGCCAUGUGCUUCUUGAACUGAGCUUCUUCAUGAUCAAUUUUCUGCUUCAGUUCAACGAUGCGCUGGGCAAUUGCAAGUUCUGAAGCAAUAGCGCCUUGGAAAGCGACGCUAAGGCCUAUGGGCAGCUGCAGAUCUUCGAAGCUUAUGUUUGGUGAGGCAAACCAUUCAUCGAUGAAGUUGUGGAUGAUGGCAACAUCAAAGAGAGGCAGAUUGUUGAAGAUUUCAGCUUCUUCUUUGCUCUUGAUGAGCUGCUCAAGAGCAUCAUCUCCAAGAUCUUCAUCGCUUGACAGAUCAAUGGCUUCACUACACAGAAUGGCAGCAGCUGUGAGCUCUUUGCCGGUGUGUGGCUGAGGCACUUUGUCCUUCUGGGGCUUGGAGACGCGGGAUACGUCUUCAGACUGCACACUGUCUUCAGGAGGUGCAGUUGCCAAUGGCUUCGCCCUUGAGAUUUUUGGUGAAGGGACCGGCUUUGAAGCUUUUGGCUUCUUAGACUGCUUUGGCUUGGGUACAGCGGGUGCUUCAUCAGACUCAGAGUCAGCUGGAGGGUCAUUCACGGUAGUCCCUUGGACUAAGAUGCGGGUGAUGAGGCCCUCAAGAUUGGCAUAUGGACCGAUGAUAUUAGGUUCGGCGUUGCGUGUGCCAUCUGCCCUUGGUGCGGAGGGACCAGGGUUGAAGUCAAGUCCAAACUUCUUCUUGUUCUGCUUCGCUGAGUUUUGCGCAAACUAGAAGUUGCGCUUGAACAGAUUGUUGUCACGACACCAGAGUAGUGACGACGGAUGUGCAUCAGCAGGUUGUGGUCCUCGGACCAUGCAUGGAUAGAAGCCUUGAGCAAUGGCUUCAUCUCUGGAUUUGGGUAAGAGAUUUUUGAAACGGAUGUCUCCCCACGGCCUCUUGAUGGCGUUCUUCUCAGCAUACUCCUGGGUGACGAAGUGGUAUUUGAACCAUUGUUCUUCCCAAUAGCGUCGAAUCCAUUGGAUUCGGGUCUUGCGCUGACCAUAAUUCUCUUCAGGAUCUGUUUUAUACAUCUCUGCCAAUUCAUCAGGUAGAUCUUUAGAUGUGCCGCCACGACGCUGUCUGCCCCCCUUCCUUGCUGCUGUCUCUGAAUCCAUAAACCUUAACUUGGAAGGCUUCAAAAUGUUCAAAGGCUUCAAAGGCUUCCUUUUGCUGGACCAACAUGAACUGGCUUCAGGAGAGUUUAUGUGAUGCUGUAAGAAUUCUGCAAACGAAUGCAGACUAUGAGAACCAAAGGAUUCUCCCACGGACAUGUACCUGUGACAGCAUUAAGGUGCGAGGGAAGGGGAAGAGGUCAUAUGCAUUCUCAGAAGAUUUUGAAGAUAAAUUAGUUUAGAAGACAUUGACCUCAUCGUGCGAAGACAUUCACUCAUAGAUAAGAAGUUGGUUCCAGAUUUGUACGAACCCACAGAUCAGUACAAGUGAGGAAUCUAACUACUUCAUGAAGCACAAGUGAAUAUACUAGGCAUGUUUUGAGAUGCAGAUUGAGAGAGAUCUAACUUGUGUGAAUAGAAACUUCUUAUGGUAGAAAAUGACAGAACCAUAGGAUCAAAAGGGGCUGUAAAAUGAAGUUUUAUUUACCACACUUGGAACUGCUAGACGGAGUGGGAGAUGAGGCCGAGCAGUUCAGUCCUCCGUGCCCUAACUUGGCGACGGAAGACACCUACGGUGACGGCGGAGAGGACGAUGUCCGCGGUCGGCGUGAAAACGGCGUCGGAGAGGUUGCGGCAGUGAAGCGCUUCGUCGCCGGCGUCGUGGAGAGUUAGCGGUGGCGCUAGGGUUCGUGCGAGGGAGGAAGAAGGAGAUAAUGACCGCGGUGAGUGUGUAUUUAUAGUUACAGGGGCGGCACUGCGCUAUUACACAGGUGCCCCUGGCGAUUCGCAUCUGAACAACACGUGGCCAUCAUGCGGAAUCUCGGGGGCAGUUCCACAUCCCGUGCACGCCUGGAUUGUCGGGUGGUCGUUCCUACUUCUCUGGAUUUCUUGUGGAUGAAUGAGCAUUGAAAACGGUUUUAAAGUUUGUCUCUGUGUCUUCUACUGACGAGGACGCAGAGAAGACAUUCGACAGUUUCAAUAGAAUGCAUAUAACUUGGAGAGAUAGAGUUUGAGGUAGAAAGCAUAGAGAGGUUAGGGUCCGAUCACAUUCACUUAGUUCAAAAAGAUUCAAACAAGAAGACAUAGCUAUAAGUGAAUGCUGUAGAGGACAGAACACUAGUAUACAUAUAUCAACAUAGUGAAGAUAAUCAUGAAGACAUGUUUAGAUUGAAGCCAAACCAAAUAUGAAGACAUUGCAAGGUAACGCCAUGAGUGAAACACUUCAAAAUAGAACGUUUGGUGGUGGCGUUACCCACCGUAUAGGAAGUAUUAGACUCAGACACGGCGCACAAUUAUCGUGGCGCUCCGAAGUCAAUUUCCAAUUAAUGUAUUCACACUUAGAAUGUAUGUCUUCAUUGAUUGAAGAUAUACGUUACUUCGUGUGUUGCACAUCUAAGUCAUCAAUAUGCAUAAGUGUUAGGAUGUGUGCCUGAUCACAGGACAUUUGAGGAUUCCAAGAUAUUUAGCUCACACCGUAACUUGCAAAAUCUCUUCUCAUCCAAGGGCUUGGUGAAGAUAUCUGCCAAUUGCUCUUCAGUGUUGACGUGUAUGAUAUCAAUAUCUUCCUUCACAACAUGAUCUGUGAGAAAGUGAUGACGAAUUUCAAUGUGCUUUGUCUUCGAGUGCUGAACUGGGUUGUUGGCAAUCUUGAUGGCGCUUUUGUUGUCGCAGUAAAGUGGCACUUGCUUCAAAUGAAUGCCAUAGUCCUUGAGAGUUUGCUUCAUCCAUAGAAGUUGAGCGCAGCAAGAUCCAGUAGCAAUGUAUUCAGAUUCAGCAGUGGAGAGGGAUACACAGUUCUGCUUCUUUGAAGACCAACAUACAAGUGAUCGUCCCAGAAAGUGACAUGUGCCUGAUGUAGACUUCCGAUCAACCUUGUCGCCAGCAUAAUCAGCAUCCGAGAAUCCAACCAGAUCAAACUCUGAGCCCUUUGGAUACCAUAAUCCUAGAGUUGGGGUGUGAGCCAAAUAUCGAAGAAUUCGCUUCACUGCUAAGUGAUGCGACUCCUUUGGUGCCGCUUGAAAUCGAGUGCACAUGCAAACACUAAGCAUAAUAUCUGGCCUAGAUGCACAUAAAUAAAGCAAAGAACCAAUCAUGGAGCGGUAUACCUUUUGAUAGAACUCUUUACCAUUGUCGUCGGGACCCAGAUGAUGUUUGGCUGGCAUUGGUGUUGUGAAGCCUUUGCAGUCUUGCAUACCGAACUUCUUCAGGCACUCUUUAAGAUAUUUCUCUUGAGAUAUGAAGAUGCCGUUGCGUUGUUGCCGUAUUUGAAGACCGAGGAAGAACUUCAGCUCCCCCAUCAUAGACAUCUGAUAUUGCUCUUGCAUCAUAUAGCCAAACUCUUCACUGUACUUCUGAUUGGUGCAGCCGAAGAUAAUGUCAUCCACAUAUAUUUGGCACACAAACAGUUCACCAUCAUAUGUCUUCGUGAAGAGAGUGGGAUCCAGGGAACCAGGUAUGAAGCCUUUGCUCUUCAGGAAGUGUUUGAGUGUGUCAUACCAGGCCCGAGGGGCUUGUUUGAGGCCAUACAGUGCCUUAUUGAGUUUGUAUACCAUGUCAGGAUGUUUUGGAUCUUCAAACCCUGGUGGUUGUGCAACAUACACUUCUUCUUCAAUCUUGCCAUUGAGAAAGGCACUCUUCACAUCCAUUUGAUAUAGAAGUAUGUUAUGAUGAUUUGCAUAGGCCAGCAGUAUGCGUAUGGCUUCAAGUCUAGCCACAGGAGCAAAAGUUUCAUCGAAGUCAAUGCCUUCCACUUGAGUAUAUCCUUGAGCAACGAGGCGAGCUUUGUUUCUGACAACUUGACCAUGCUCAUCUUGCUUGUUGCGGUAUAUCCAUUUGGUGCCUAUUAUAUUGUGCUUCCGUGGAUCAGGACGCUUGAUCAGUUCCCAUACAUUGUUCAGCUCAAACUGUUGAAGCUCUUCUUGCAUUGCUUGAAUCCAUUCAGGUUCCAUAAAGGCUUCUUCAACUUUCUUGGGUUCUGAAAUUGAGACAAAUGCGAAGUGCCCACAGAAAUUUGCCAGUUGAGUUGCCCUUGAACGAGUGAGUGGACCAGGUGCAUUGAUGCUGUCAAUUAUUCUGUCAAUCUGCACUUCAUUGGCAACACGAGGAUGUAUAGGGCGAAGACUUUGCUCUUGCUGAUCUGUGUUGUCGUUGGGAGGAAUGUCUUCAGGCUGAGCAUUGUCUUCAUGUGGAUCAGGUGCUGAGAUGAUAAGUUCUUUUUCAGGCUGAGCUUCAGAAGGUACAAUCUCUCCAGUUCCCAUAAGCUUGAUUGAUUCAUUAGCUGGAACUUCAUCAAGUACAUUUGGCAGUUGCUCUCUUUGUGAGCCAUUCGUCUCAUCAAACCGCACAUCCACUGUUUCAACCACUUUGUAGUGAAGGAGAUUGAAGACUCUGUAUGAGUGCGAAUCCUUUCCAUAUCCAAGCAUAAAACCCUCAUGUGCUUUUGGUGCAAAUUUUGAGGUGUGGUGUGGGUCCUUGAUCCAGCAUCUUGCGCCAAAUACUCUGAAGUAACUGACAUUUGGCUUCUUGCCAGUUAGGAGUUCAUAAGAUGUCUUGUUCAGAAGCUUGUGAAGAUAAACACGGUUGAUUAUGUGGCAUGCAGUGUCAAUGGCUUCAGGCCAGAAUUUUCUUGGAGUCUUGUAUUCAUCUAGCAUUGUUCUGGCCAUCUCAAUGAGUGUUCUGUUCUUGUGUUCGACGACGCCAUUCUGCUGUGGCGUGUACGGAGCUGAGAAUUCAUGUGUGAUGCCCAAAGUAUCAAGAUAUGUAUCAAGGCCAGUGUUCUUGAAUUCAGUGCCAUUGUCACUUCUGAUGUGCUUUAUCUUGGCGCCAUAAUUGUUCAUAGCUCGAUUAGCGAAGCGUCUGAAGACAUCUUGCACUUCAGUCUUGUAAAGGAUUAUGUGCACCCAAGUGUAUCUAGAGUAAUCAUCAACAAUGACAAAGCCAUAGAGGCAAGCAGUAGUGGAAAAAGUUGAGUAGUGAGUGGGACCAAACAGAUCCAUGUGAAGCAGUUCGAAGGGUCGAGUAGUGGUCAUGAUUGUCUUCGAGGGGUGUUUUGCCCUCGUCAUCUUCCCUGCUUCACAGGCACCGCAUAAGUGAUCUUUCUUGAACUUGACGCCUUCGAUGCCUAUGACAUGCUUCUUCAUUGCAAGGGUGUGGAGGUUCCUCGUGCCAGCAUGUCCAAGCCUCCGAUGCCAAAGCCAGCAUUCGGAAGCCUUUGCCAGAAGACAUACUACAAGCUGUGGCCCUGCUGAGAAAUCUACCACAUACAAAUCAUCUUUCCGAUACCCUUCAAACACUAGAGACUUGUCAGAUUCCAUUAGUACCAGGCAACGAUAUUUUCCAAAUAUUACGACCAUGUUCAAAUUGCAAAGCAUUGAGACAGACAUUAAGUUGAAGCCAAGGGAUUCAACAAGCAUGACUUUAUCCAUGUGUUGAUCCUUUGAGAUUGCAACUCUACCUAGACCCAAUACCUUACUUUUACCAGUGUCAGCAAAUGUGAUGUGGCUCUUGUCGGAUGGACGUAAGGUUGAGUCCGUAAAAAGGCUUCUUUUGCCGAUCAUGUGAUUUGUACACCCACUGUCAAUAAUCCAUUCUGAAGACUUUGAAGACGCUUGUGUCGUACCCUACAGUGUAGUUAGGGGGAUAGGCUUCACGAAGAGAAUUGUGAAGCAAAAACAUUUGACGAACCAGUGGGUUAUGAAAACUUAGAUCCAGAUUAGGACUAAUAGGGAGAGUAGCAUGCGAUUCAGGAAUGAAAUACAUAGUGAUGCCAUUCGGGCAUUUGAUCUUGCGCCCUGUAAGAUUUUUAAGGUCCCCAACAAUAGCGUCAGAAGAUUUUGUUUUUCUGCUGGAGACCUUUCCCUGCAAAAGAGAGUUAAGAUUUCUUAACCACCCACAUCUUCAAGGGUGGCUUAGAAGCAAUAAGUCUAAGUGCAGCAUCUGAGAAUUUUGGCUUUGGAGCCCUAGCAAACAGUCUAGCAGGUGGACAAUAGUACUCAUAAGAAUAGGCAGAAUAGUUCUUGGUCAUAUGAACAUGGCGGUUUGAUGAACCGCUUUCAUAUUCAUAUGCCUGAGUAUGGUUUCCCUGCAAAACAUUUGCGUUAGUGCGACUCAAGUGAGUCCUCUGUCUGUAUGAAGCCUUUGGACCGUAUGAAACCUUUGGUCUGAGGUUUGUCUUCUUCGUGUGAGGUGUCAUGAAGGCAUUCACAGAAAGAUUUUCCAGACACGUUUUCGGAACCCAGAUCUUCUUCAUAGGCGGUCCAUUCCUGCAGUUAGUACCAAUGUACCUGGCAAACACUUCACCAUUUUGAUUCUUAAACAGUUUAUAGUUUGCACCAAAGGAUUCAUCAAUGAUAAUGGGGUUAGCACAAGUGAAGCCAGAUAGAUUGGAUGGAUCUGCUGAGGAUUCCUUUGCAGCAACCCAUGUGGUUUUGGGGUACUACUCAGGUUUCCAAUAAGAGCCAUCUGCAUUUAUUUUCCUUACGAACCCAACACCCUCUUUCCUAGGGUUUCGGUUCAAAAUCUGCUUCUUGAGGACAUCACAUAAUGUCUGAUGUCCUUUAAGACUUUUGUACACCCCUGUUUCAAGCAAUGUCUUCAACCUAGCAUUCUCAUCAGCAAUAGCAGUGGUAUCCUUAGCAGAGGGGUUAGUUACCACAUCAACAGUUGAAGAUAUUGCAACAGCAGUAGCAGUGGAACAUUCAGCAACAGAGGUAGCAUUAUCACGCUCAAUGCAUUUAAGGCAUGGUGGUUCAAAUUCUUCCUGAGCGGAACUGAUCUGUUCGGCACGAAGUGACUCGUUUUCCUUUUGAAGGUCUUCAUGAGCCGCUCUCAAUUUCUCAAGAUCUUGCUUCCUUUGAAGAUAAUCAUAGGAAAGCUUUUCAUGAGUUGUUGAGAGAGUAUCAUGACGAUCUUCAAGUUCCUGAUACCUAACGUGAAGAUUUUUUAUGUCUUCAAUUAAGGAUUCAGAUCGAGUCAUUUCAGCACCCAACAGAUCAUCGCUUCUGUCUAACAAUUUUUGAAUAUGUUCCAUGGCCUUUUGUUGUUCAGUUGCAAUUUUAGCAAGUGUUUUGUAGCUGGGAUUUGAAUCACAAUCAGAGUCAUCGUCACUAGAUGUUUGAUAGUGAGUAGUGCGUUUGUUUACCUUGGCACCGUGUGCCAUGAAGCAGGUAGGAGUGGAGUCGUCCUUGUCAUUUGCAUCGGUGUCGGUGAUGAAGUCAUUGUCUUCAUUGUUGAAGAUGGACUUGGCGACGUAUGCUGUAGCCAGACUUGCAAUGCCAGAAUCAGACUCCUCCUCAGACUCCACCUCUGCCUCCUCAGAAGCGGACUCCUCCUCUGAAUCCAUUUCCUUGCCAACAAACGCACGUGCCUUGCCAGAUGAGCUCUUCUUGUGUGAUGAAGACUUUGAGGAAGACUUGGAAGAAGACUUUGAGUAUUUUUUUCUUCUUCUUGUCGUCAGAGUCAUAUUCCUUGCUCUUCUUCUUUCUUCUGUUCUCAUUGUCCCACUGUGGACACUCAGAGAUGAAGUGUCCAGUUUUCUUGCACUUGUGGCAUGUUUUCUUCUUGUAGUCAUGAGCAGAAGCUUCAUAAUUCCUUGAGCUUGAUCGUGAAGACUUUCUGAAGCCUUUCUUCUUGGUGAAUUUCUGGAAUUUGUUCACUAGCAUUGGAAGUUCCCUUCCAAUGUCUUCAGGAUCAUCAGAACUGCUAUCAGAUUCUUCUUCAGAUGAGGACACAGCUUUUGCCUUCAAGGCACGAGUUCGCCCAUAGUUAGGACCGUAGAUAUCUCUUUUCUCAGAAAGCUGAAACUCAUGUGUGUUGAGCCUCUCAAGUAUGUCAGAUGGAUCGAGUGUCUUGAAAUCAGGACGUUCUUGAAUCAUCAGGGCUAGGAUGUCAAACGAACUAUCAAGUGAUCUCAGCAGCGUCUUGACGAUUUCAUGUUUGGUGAUCUCAGUAGCACCGAGGGCUUGAAGCUCAUUUGUGAUGUCAGUGAGCCGGUCAAAUGUGUGCUGGACAUUCUCAUUGUCAUUUCGCUUGAAGCGGUUGAAGAGGUUGCGAAGAACACUGAUUCUCUGAUCUCUCUGGGUUGAGAUGCCUUCAUUGACCUUGGAGAGCCAGUCCUAGACCAACUUGGAUGUCUUCAAGGCACUCACACGGCCAUACUAUCCCUUGGUUAGAUGACCACAAAUGAUAUUCUUGGCAGUAGAGUCCAGUUGAGUGAACUUCUUGACAUCAGCAGCAGUGACACCUUCUCCAGCCUUGGGAACGCCGUUCUCGACGACAUACCAUAGGUCGACGUCAAUGGCUUCAAGAUGCAUGCGCAUCUUAUUCUUCCAGUAGGGAUAUUCAGUUCCAUCGAAGACGAGGCACGCAGCGGAGACUUUGAUUAUCCCUGCAGUCGACAUAGCUAAAACUCCAGGUGGUUAAACCGAAUCACACAGAACAAGGGAGCACCUUGCUCUGAUACCAAUUGAAAGUGCAUUAUAUCGACUAGAGGGGGGUGAAUAGGCGAUUUUUAUGAAAGUCUUCAAAACGUGGAAGUUAUGAAGACAAACAGUAGAGAUAUGCCUAUCACUAUGCAACGGAAGUUAGAUUACACUAGACAACCCAUGGUCAAGUAUUCAAUAGAGUGAGGGCACAAUGACAAGUAGCUGUAGUGUAAUAAGGAUCGGGUAGGAAGAAGUUAUGAAGCCAAACAAAUCAUACAGUUACGUUGUGAAGACAAAAGAUAGAGCAAGCAUGCAAUGGCUUCACAAUGAGUAACAGUGAGUAAAAGGAAGUGAAGAUGAAACCAGUGACUCGUUGAAGACAAUGAUUUGUUGGACCAGUUCCAGUUGCUGUGACAACUGUACAUCUGGUUAGGGCGGCUAGGUAUUUAAACCAAAGGACACACAGUCCCGGACACCCAGUCCUGAACACGCAGCUCAGGACACCCAGUCCUCACCGUUUUCCCCUUGAGCUAAGGUCACACAGACCUCGCCCAAUCACUCUGGUAAGUCUUCAAGGUAGACUCCCAAACCUUCACAGACUUCGUUCACUGGCAAUCCACAAUGUCUCUUCGAUGCUCUGAAGGCGACGCCUAACCGUCUGGAGGAUGCACAGUCCUCAAGUGUAAUAAGUCUUCAUAUCACUCAGACAAGAAGACUUAAGUGAUGCCCAAUUUACUCUGGCUCUGGGUGGUUAGGGCUUUUCUCCUCGCUAGGAAUUUUCUCUCAAAGGCUUCGAGGUGGGUUGCUCUCAAACGACAAAAGCCGUGCACUGAAAUCUGAGCAGCCAACCAUUUAUGGUUGUAGGGGGUGGACUAUUUAUAGCCACUGGGCAACCCGACCUGAUUUGUCCGAAAUGACCCUGGGUCACUAAGGAACUGACACGUGUUCCAACGGUCAGAUUUCAAACUCACACAACAACUUUACUUGGGCUACAAGUAAAGCUGACUUGUCCGACUCUGGACAAGAUUUGCUCUCAUAGUCUUCGCUCGAAGACAUAGGAUUUGAAUUAGGCAUCACUUUAGUCAUUCUGACUGGUUCUCUUGGACCCCACUUUAUAGUACGGUGGUUCCUAUGACUCAACACAAAUGAAAAAGAACUACGAAACAUCUAAGUCUUCGAGUUCCAUAGGCUUCACGUGGUGUCUUCUCUUGUCAUAGUCUUCAAUGUGAAUAUCUUCAUAUACCACCAUUGUCUUCAAUGUCUUCGUACAUUUUUAGGGGUCAUUUCUGGUAGUAAAACCGAAUCAAUGAGGGACUUCUACCUGUGUUAUCCUGCACUUCUCACAAACACAUUAGUCCCUCAACUAGGUUUGUCGUCAAUACUCCAAAACCAACUAGGGGUGGUACUAGAUGCACUUACAAAUAUUGGAGGAGAUCGAAGAAAAAAAGAGAAGAAGAAGUAAUAGAGGAGAAGAAGAAAAAAAUAGAAUAAUAUAUUAUUCUAUUUCUUCUUCUUGUCCAUUAUUUCUUCUUCUACUACUCUUUUUUCUUCUUCUUUUUCAUCUUCUUAUUUAUUUCUCCUCUUCUUCCUCUCCUCUUCUUCCUCUCCUCUUCUUCUUAUUCUUCUUCUUCUUCUCCUUCGUCCUCUUCUUAUUUUCCUUUUUUCUCUCCUUCUUUUUCUUCUAAAUAUGAACAUACAUAAAUGACUUUGAUCAUACACAAUUUUCAGAUUCCUACACAAUAUGAACAUAUACAUAAAUUGACAAAGAAAAUUCUAUGAACAAAAAAAUCAUAAAAAUUCUAUGAACAAAAUUACAACAGAAAAAAAUCAUAAAAAUUCUAUGAAAAAAUUGACAUAUUCUUUGCAUAUGAACAUACAAACAUUUGCAUAUUCAAUAAUAAUAUCACCAAAAAAAUCUAAACUACACAUCUAAAUUAAUACAUCUAAAUUACAACAACUAAAUUAACUACACAUCUAACUACACAUCCAAAUUAAUACAACUAAAUUACAAAUCUAAACUACAAAUAUAUAAUCACUAGGGGGCGCGGCGGCGCGGCGGCAGCGGCGACGGCCAUUACAGGGAGGAGGAGGAGGGGAUUGGGGCGGCACUCACAGGGUGCGCGGCGACGACGACGAGGAGGCAGCGUCGGGGCAGGGGCGGCGACGGCGUCGGGGCGGGGCGCAGGGGCGCGGCCGGUGACGGCGCGGGCUCGAGGGCGGCGGACGACGUCGGCGUGGGCUCGGGGGCACGGGCGACGGCGACGGCGGCGGGGCAGCCUUGCGGCGUCGAGGAGGUCAGCGUCGUCGGGCGGCAACUGGCGAUGAAAUCUGAAAAAAUGCUAAGGGUUGGCUUAUAUAGAAAAGGCUUUAGUCCCGGUUCGUGGCACGAACCGGUACCAAAGCCCACCUUCAGUCCCGAUUGAUGCCACCAACCGGGACCCAAGGCCUCUGCUUCCCGGCCUUUGGUCCCGGUUGGUGGCACAAACCGGGACCAAAGGGUGGGCAUUGGUACCGGUACCAAUGUAUGCGUUUAUUACCGGUUGGUGGCAACCCGGGACUAAAGGCCUUGUGCUGCCCGCAUCGCGACACGAAAGUUUAGUCCCACCUCGCUAGCUGAGGGAGUUCGAGAGUGGUUUAUAAGCCCCACUUUCAAAUGCAGGCUUUUGGGCCUAAACACACUGUAUCUACCUGUGGGCCUAUUGGGCCUUCUACGGGCCUAAAUCCUGGCCCAUGGGUGGGUUUUCUAGUCGUAUUCAGGCCGUGGUGGCCCAGUAGGUGGCGUUUUUUAUUUUUUUCCCAGUUUAUUUCUUUUCUUUUUUGUUUUAUUUUUUUAUUUUGUUUCUACUUGCAACAAAAUACUUAUUUAUUUUAUUUUAUUUUGUUUCUAAUUACUUAUUUAUUUUAUUUUAUGAUAAUUCUUUUUGCUAUUAAAGUUUCUAACAAAAAAAGUUCUUUAUGAAAGUUCUUUUUGCUUUUAAUGAUUUUGAACAGAAAAAACUUUGAUAAUUUUAGUUGCAUCAAUUUAUAUAAUUUUAGUUUCAGUAAUAAUAGAGGUUGCUUAUAAUGUUUUGAACAGAAAAUAUGUUGAUAAUUUUAGUUUCAUAAAUUUUAUUUAUGUUAUUAAAGUUUAUUUUAUUUUGUUUCUACUUAUAUAUUUUACUAAAGUUUAUUUUAUUCUGUUUCUAAUUACUUAUUUAUUUUUAUGAUAUUUGUUAUUUUUCAUGCAUUUACUGAUUAUUUUGAGCUAUAAGACCCUGAAAUUGAAAAGCACUAGAAAUGAACUCUGAAAAGGUUGAAAGUUGGCAUGGUAUCAUCAUUUCACCCACAUAGCAUGUGUAAGAAAGUAGAGAGGCUUACGGCAAAAACUGGAUGCACUUCGUGUACAAAACGGACAAUCUGUUUCAAAGUAUCAGGAUUUCAUACGGAAACUCGUCUGUUACAACAGGCAUUUCAAAUGAACUACGAAAAGGUUGAAAGUUGGCAUGGUAUCAUCAUAAUAGUUGUGGAGAGAAAGUCUUCACUUUUUUUUCGCUUGUGUGCUUUGCUUAUUGCGCCGUAACCAUGGAUAAUCUUCAUCGUUUAUCAGGAUGCUUGGGUUAGCCUUUACUUUGAAGGGAGGAAUUUCAUGAAACUUUUCAUAAUUUUCAGACAUGUCUGUCUUGCCCUCCACUCACACAAUGUCCUUUUUUCCUGAAAGAACUAUGUGGCGCUUUGGCUCAUCGUAUGAUGUAUUCGCUUCCUUAUCUUUCUUUUUCUCGGUCUGGUAGACAUGUCCUUCACAUAGAUAACCUGUGCCACAUCAUUGGCUAGGACGAACGGUUCGUUAGUGUACCCAAGAUUGUUCAGAUCCACUGUUGUCAUUCUGUACUGUGGGUCUACCUGUACCCCGCCUCCUGACAGAUUGACCCAUUUGCACUUAAACAAAGGGACCUUAAAAUCAUGUCCGUAGUUGAUACGUCCAUUUUGCAUCAUGCUUUUAUAUCGAUGUUUAUUGCAUUAUGGGCUGUUAUUUCACUUUAUGUCACAAUACUUAUGGCUAUUCUCUCUUAUUUUACAAGGUUUACAUAAGGAGGGAGAAUGCCGGCAGCUGGAAUUCUGGGCUGGAAAAGGAGCAAAUAUUGGAGGCCUAUUCUGCGCAACUCCAAAAGUCCUGAAACUCCACGGAAUAUCUUAAAAUAAAUAAUAAUAAAUCCUUGCCAAAGAUGAAGGCCAGGGGGCCCACACCCUGUCCACGAGGGUGGGGGCGCCCCCCCUAGGGCGCGCCCCCACCUCGUGGGCCCCCGGUGGCUCUCCGAUGACCAUCUUCUCCUAUAUGAAGUCUUUCGUCAAGAAAAAACCAGAAGAAUCUUUCGGGACGAGACUCCGCCGCCACGAGGCGGAACCUUGGCGGAACCAAUCUAGGGCUCCGGCAGAGCUGUUCUGCUGGGGACACUUCCCUCUGGGAGGGGGAAAUCAUCGCCAUCAUCAUCACCAACGCUCCUCUCAUCAGGAGAGGGCAAUCUCCAUCAACAUCUUCACCAGUACCAUCUUAUCUCAAACUCUAGUUCAUCUCUUGUAUCCAAUUCUUGUCUCCAAGUCCGGGAUUGGUGCUAGUAGGUUGCUAGUAGUGUUGAUUACUCCUUGUAGUUGAUGUUAGUUGGUUUAUUUGGUGGAAGAUCAUAUGUUCAAAUCCUUUAUGCAUAUUAUUACCCCUCCGAUUAUGAACAUUAAUAUGCUUUGUGAGUAGUUACGUUUGUUCCUGAGGACAAGGGAGAAGUCUUGCUAUUAGUAGUCAUGUGAAUUUGGUAUUCGUUCGAUAUUUUGAUGAGAUGUAUGUUGUCUAGCCUCUAGUGGUGUUAUGUGAACGUCUACUACAUAACACUUCACCAUUAUUUGGGCCUAGAGGAAGGCAUUGGGAAGUAAUAAGUAGAUGAUGGGUUGCUAGAGUGACAGAAGCUUAAACCCUAGUUUAUGCGUUGCUUCGUAAGGGGCUGAUUUGGAUCCAUAUGUUUCAUGCUAUGGUUAGGUUUACCUUAAUACUUUUGUCGCAGUUGCGGAUGCUUGCAAUAGAGGUUAAUCAUAAGUGGGAUGCUUGUUCAAGUAAGAACAGCACCCAAGCACCGGUCCACCCACAUAUCAAAUUAUCAAAGUACCGAACGCGAAUCAUAUGAAUGUGAUGAAACUAGCUUGACUAUAUUCCCAUGUGUCCUCGGGAGUGCUUUUCCUAUUAUAAGAGUUUGUCCAGGCUUGUCCUUUGCUACAAAAAGGAUGAGACCACCUUUCUGCACUUUAUUUACUUUUGUUACUUGUUGCUCGUUACAUAUUAUCUUAUCACAAAACUAUCUAUUACCACUUAUUUCUGUACUUGCAGAGAAUACCUUGCUGAAAACCGCUUGUCAUUUCCUUCCGCUCCUCGUUGGGUUCGACACUCUUACUUAUCGAAAGGACUACGAUAGAUCCCCUAUACUUGUGGGUCAUCAAGACUCUUUUCUGGCGCCGUUGCCGGGGAGUGUAGCGCCUUUGGUAGGUGGAAUUUGGUAAGAAAAAAUUUAUAUAGUGUGCUGAAAUUUAUUGUCAUUUGUUACUAUGGAAAGUAAUCCUCUGAGGGGCUUGUUCGGGGUAUCUUCACCCCGUCCAGUAGAGCAAAGAGUUGCUCCUCAACCUACUGAACCUAUUGAAAAUGAAACUCCUUUUGAAUUUCCUUCGGGUAUGAUGGAAAAACUGCUAGCUAAUCCUUUUACAGGAGAUGGAACGAAGCAUCCUGAUGAGCACUUAAUAUAUGUGGAUGAAGUUUGUGGAUUAUUUAAGCUUGCAGCUAUACCCGAUGAUGUUGCUAAGAAGAAGGUUUUCCCUUUAUCUUUGAAGGGAGAUGCAUUGACAUGGUAUAGGCUAUGUGAUGAUACGAGAUCAUGGAACUAUAGAAGACUGAAAUUGGAAUUUCAUCAAAAGUAUUAUCAUAUGCAUCUUGUUCAUCGUGAUCGCAAUUAAAUAUAUAAUUUUUGGCCUCGCGAAGGAGAAAGCAUCGCUCAAGCUUGGGGGAGGCUUAAAUCAAUGUUAUAUUCAUGCCCCAAUCAUGAGCUCCCAAGAGAAACAAUUAUUCAAAAAUUUUAUGCUCGGCUUUCUGAAAACAAUAACCCAUGCUCGAUACUUCUUGUGCUGGCUCUUUUAUGAUGAAGACUAUUGGAUUUAAAUGGGAUUUAUUGGAUAGAGUUAAAUGCAACUAUGAAUAUUGGGACCUCGACGAAGGUAAUUAGUCAGGUAUGACACCUAAGUUUGAUUCUGUUAAAUCUUUUAUGGAUACCGAUAUUUUCCGUAAGUUUAGCACUAAAUAUGGACUUGACUCUGAGAUAGUAGCUUCUUUCCGUGAAUCUUUUGCUACGUAUGUUGAUCUCCCUAAGGAGAAGUGGUUUAAAUAUCAUCCUCCCAUAGAAGUAAAAGUAGCCGCACCUAUUAAAGUUGAAGAAAAGACUGUCACUUAUAAUGAUCCUAUUGUUCCCACUGCCUAUGUUGAGAAACCACCUUUCCCUGUUAGAAUAAAGGAUCAUGCUAAAGCUUCAACUGUUGUUCGUAAAAGCAAUAUUAGAACUUAUACACCUCCUGAGCAAGUUAAAGUAGAACCUAAUAUUGCUAUUGUUAAAGAUCUCUUGUCUGAUAAUAUUGAUGGGCAUGUUAUUGAGUUUAGCGGUGAAACUGCUAGAAUUGCUAAACCCUGUGCCAAAGAUAAACAUAGACCUGUGGUAGGCGUGCCUGUUAUUUCUGUUAAAAUAGGAGAUCAUUGUUAUCAUGGCUUAUGUGAUAUGGGUGCUAGUGCUAGUGUUAUACCACAUACUUUAUACGAAGAAAUUAAGCAUGAAAUUGCACCUACUGAGUUAGAGGGUAUUGAUGUCACAAUUAAGCUUGCCAAUAGAGAUACUAUUUCACCAAUUGGGAUUGUUAGCGAUGUUGAAGUCUUGUGUGGGAAAACUAAAUAUCCCGCUGAUUUUCUUGUUCUUGGUUCUCCACAAGAUAGCUUUUGUCCCAUUAUAUUUGGUAGACCCAUCUUGAAUACUGUUAAUGCUAAGAUAGAUUGCGAAAAGAAUGUUGUUACUAUUGGCUUGGAUGAUAUGAUUCAUGAAUUUAAUUUCUCUAAAUUUAGUAAACAACAUCGUGAAGAAGAAUUGCCUAGUAAGGAUGAAAUUAUUGGUCUUGCUUCUAUUGCCGUACCUCCUAGUGAUCCUUUAGAACAUUAUCUGCUAGACCAUGAAAAUGAUAUGUUUAUGAAUGAAAGAAGGGAAAUAGAUGAAGUAUUCUUUAAACAGGAACCUAUUCUGAAACACAAUUUGCCUGUUGAAAUUUUAGGGGAUCCUCCUCCACCCAAGGGUGAUCCCGUGUUUGAGCUUAAAUAGUUGCCUGAUAAUCUUAAGUAUGCUUAUCUUGAUGAAAAGAAGAUAUAUCCUCUUAUUAUUAGUGCUAACCUUUCAGAGCAUGAAGAAGAAAGAUUAUUGAAAAUUCUGAAGAAGCACCGUGCCGCUAUUGGAUAUACUCUUGAUGAUCUUAAGGGCAUUAGUCCCACUCUAUGUCAACAUAAAAUAAAUUUGGAAGCAGAUGCCAAACCAAUUCGUGAUCCCCAACGACGUCUGAAUCCCAAAAUUAAAGAAGUGGUAAGAAAAGAAAUACUAAAGCUUCUAGAGGCAGGUAUAAUUUAUCCCGUUGCUGAUAGUCAGUGGGUAAGCCCUGUCCAUUGUGUCCCUAAGAAGGGAGGUAUUACUGUUGUUCCUAAUGAUAAAGAUGAAUUGAUCCCACAAAGAAUUAUCACAGGUUAUAGGAUGGUAAUUGAUUUCCGCAAAUUAAAUAAGGCUACUAAGAAAGAUCAUUACCCCUUACCUUUUAUUGAUCAAAUGCUAGAAAGAUUAUGCAAACAUACACACUACUGCUUUCUAGAUGGUUAUUCCGGUUUCUCUCAAAUACCCGUGUCGGCUAAAGAUCAAUCAAAGACUACUUUUACAUGCCCUUUUGGUGCUUUUGCUUAUAGACGUAUGCCAUUUGGUUUAUGUAAUGCACCUGCUACCUUUCAAAGAUGCAUGAUGGCUAUAUUCUCUGACUUUUGUGAAAAGAUUUGUGAGGUUUUCAUGGAUGACUUUUCCGUUUAUGGUUCCUCUUUUGAUGAUUGCUUGAGCAAUCUUGAUCGAGUUUUGCAGAGAUGUGAAGAAACUAAUCUUGUCUUGAAUUGGGAAAAGUGCCACUUUAUGGUUAAUGAAGGUAUUGUCUUGGGGCACAAAGUUUCUGAAAGAGGUAUUGAAGUUGAUAAAGCCAAGGUUGAUGCUAUUGAAAAGAUGCCAUGUCCCAAGGACAUCAAAGGUAUACGAAGUUUUCUUGGUCACACCGGAUUUUAUAAGAGGUUCAUUAAGGACUUCUCAAAAAUCUCUCGACCUCUGACUAAUUUAUUACAAAAAGAUAUACCAUUUAUCUAUGAUGAUGAUUGUGUAGAAGCAUUUGAAAUACUUAAGAAAGCAUUAGUCUCUGCACCUGUUGUUCAGCCACCUGAUUGGAAUUUACCCUUUGAAAUUAUGUGUGAUGCUAGUGAUUAUGCUGUAGGUGCUGUUCUAGGGCAAAGAGUUGAUAAGAAAUUAAAUGUUAUCCAUUAUGCUAGUAAGACUCUAGACAAUGAUCAAAGAAAUUAUGCUACUACUGAAAAGGAACUUUUAGCAGUUGUAUUUGCUUGUGAUAAGUUUAGACCCUAUAUUGUUGAUUCUAAAGUAACUAUUCAUACUGAUCAUGCUGCUAUUAAAUAUCUUAUGGAAAAGAAAGAUGCUAAACCUAGACUUAUUAGAUGGGUUCUCCUCCUACAAGAAUUUGAUUUGCAUAUCAUUGAUAGAAAAGGAGCUGAGAACCCCGUUGCAGACAACUUGUCUAGGUUAGAAAAUGUUCUUGAUGACCCACUACCUAUUGAUGAUAGCUUUCCUGAUGAGCAAUUAAAUGAUAUAAGUACUUCUCGUAGUACUCCUUGGUAUGAUGAUUACGCUAAUUAUAUUGUUGCUAAGUUUAUACCACCUAGCUUCACAUACCAGCAAAAGAAAAAGUUCUUCUAUGAUUUGAGACAUUACUUUUGGGAUGACCCACAUCUUUAUAAAGAAGGAGUAGAUGGUGUUAUUAGACGUUGUGUACCUGAGCAUGAACAGGAACAGAUCCUACGCAAGUACCACUCCGAAGCCUAUGGAGGACACCAUGCGGGAGACAGAACCGCACAUAAGGUAUUGCAAUCCGGUUUUUAUUGGCCUACUCUCUUCAAGGAUGCUCGUAAGUUUGUCUUGUCUUGUGAUGAAUGUCAAAGAAUUGGUAAUAUUAGUAGACAUCAAGAAAUGCCUAUGAAUUAUUCACUUGUUAUUGAACCAUUUGAUGUUUGGGGCUUUGAUUAUAUGGGACCUUUUCCUGCCUCUAAUGGAUAUACACAUAUUUUAGUUGCUGUUGAUUACGUUACUAAGUGGGUAGAAGUUAUUCCAACUAGUAGUGCUGAUCAUAACACUUCUAUUAAAAUGCUUAAGGAAGUUAUUUUUCCGAGGUUUGGAGUCCCUAGAUAUUUAAUGACUGAUGGUGGUUCACACUUUAUUCAUGGUGCUUUCCGUAAAAUGCUUGCUAAGUAUGAUGUUAAUCAUAGAAUUGCAUCUCCUUAUCAUCCACAGUCUAGUGGUCAAGUAGAAUUGAGCAACAGAGAGCUCAAAUUAAUUUUGCAAAAGACUAUUAAUAGGUCUAGAAAGAAUUGGUCCAAGAAACUUGAUGAUGCAUUAUGGGCCUAUAGAACUGCAUAUAAAAAUCCUAUGGGAAUGUCUCCAUAUAAAAUGGUAUAUGGAAAAACAUGUCACUUACCUCUCGAACUAGAACAUAAGGCAUAUUGGGCUAUUAAAGAGCUCAACUAUGAUUUCAAACUUGCCGGUGAGAAGAGGUUAUUUGAUAUUAGCUCACUUGAUGAAUGGAGAACCCAAGCUUAUGAAAAUGCUAAGUUGUUUAAAGAAAAAGUUAAAUAUGGCAUGACAAAAGGAUACAAAAGCGUGAGUUUAAUGUAGGUGAUUAUGUAUUGCUAUACAACUCUGUUUAAGAUUUUUUGCAGGAAAACUUCUCUCUAAAUGGGAAGGCCCCUACGUUAUCGAGGAGGUCUAUCAUUCCGGUGCCAUAAAGAUCAACAACUUCGAAGGCACAAAUCCGAAGGUGGUAAACGGUCAAAGAAUCAAACAUUAUAUCUAAGGUAAUCCCAUAAAUGUUGAAACCAAUAUUAUUGAAACCGUAACCUCGGAGGAAUACAUAAGGGACACUUUCCAGACCGUUUCAGACUCCGAAAAGGAAUAGGUAUGUGGUACGGUAAGUAAACCGACUCCAAAACAAUUUUUAAGGCAAUAUCUCUCCAUUUUGGAAUAUUUAGAAAAAUAGAAAAAUAAGUAGCAGUCCGGGAAGGACACGAGGGCCCCAUGAGGGUGGUGGGCGCGCCCCUACCUCGUGACCACCUCGUGUGCCUUCUGGACUCCGUUUUCUUGCACAAUACGUAUUUUGGUUGGUAAAAAUUCAUUAUAUAUUCUCUCGAAGGUUUUGACUCCUGUAUCACGCAAAUAUCCUCUGUUUUUGUUUCGAGCUGUUGCUGCUGCAGAUUAGAGCAAGAUGUCUUCUCAAGAGUCAGUCGGGGAGAGCCGAGUAUCUAAUCCGGCACCAGAACCAAGGGCAAACAGCGACGCUGACCACUUUGGGCCAGCAACGGAGGAAGAGAUGGAGGCUGACUUGAUGAGGGUAGAUGCCAUGGAGGAUCAAGAAGUCACCUCUCGCCUCCGAGCUGGGUUCACGAUGGGGGAACUACAGAGCUCAGCUAUUCCAAACUCGGUUAUCCCUUCCAAUGUUAGAUUUCUUUCUUAUGAAAAUAUGAAGAGGAGUGUCACUUGUUCCCCCACAGCUAUGCAACACCCUUGGGUGCAAGGAGCUUUAGCCGUCACAGGUAAGCUUCGUAAGGAAAUAAUGGACCUCAAGAAGCAAGUCAAUAAGCUCGAGGAGGAGAACCGCAUCUUGAGGGGAAUCAUCGCCAAGAAUAUUACACCAACAACAAAGAAGGAGACAUAAUCACAUGGGUAUGGGCACUCCCUUUGGCAACUGCCAAGCUUGGGGGAGGUGCCCCGGUAUCGUAUCACAAUCACAACUCCUAUCUUUACCGUUUUUCUUAGUUCGAUCCUAUUAGUAGUAUCUUGAUCUAGUAGAAUAAAGUUUAUGGCAUGAUCUAGUUUUGAGUUUUGCUUUAUGAUCUCUCUUUGUAAUCGAGUCCGUGAGCUAUAUAUAAUAAAGAUUAGUGUUGAGUCAAGGGCUUGAUUAUUUUGCCAUGAUCUUGGGUGAAUUAAAGAAAAGAGAAAAAGGAUAAAAAGAAACAAAGAGUUCAUAUUGAUCUUACUGAGAGUAAUGACUUCACAUAGAAAGAGUAUGAUGUUUAAAAUUUGUUGGAAGUUGGCAGACAUAGCUUUGGUCAUCGUUGCAAUUAAUAGGAAGUAAUAAGGAAAGAGAGGUUUCACAUAUAGAUAUAUUAUCAUUGACAUCUUUUAUGAUUGGGAGCACUCAUUAAAAUAUGACAUGCUAAAGAGUUGAUGUUGGACAAGGAAGACAACGUAAUGAGUUAUGUUUUCUUAUAUCUGAGAUAAAGUAUGUUGUCAUGGAUCCUCUAACAUGUUGAGCUUGCCUUUCCCCCUCAUGCUAGCCAAAUUCUCAGCACCAAGUAGAAAUACUACUUGUGCUUCCAAAUACCCUUAAACCAGUUUUGCCAUGAGAGUCCACCAUAUCUACCUAUGGAUUGAGUAAGAUCCUUCAAGUAAGUUAUCAUCGGUGCAAAGCAAUAAAAAUUGCUCUAAAUAUGUAUGAUUGAUUGGUGUGGGAGAAAUAAGCUUUAUACGAUCUUGUGAUGUGGAAGUAAUAAAAGCGACAGACUGCAUAAUAAAGGUUCAUAUCACAAGGGGCAAUAUAAAGUGACGUUCUUUCGCAUUGAGAUUUUAUGCAUCCAACCAUAAAAGCGCAUGGCAACCUCUGCUUCCCUCUGCGAAGGGCCUAUCUUUUAUCAUUAUCUUCUACCUUAUGCAAGAGUCAUGGUGAUCUUCACCUUUCCUUUUUCAUUUUAUCCUUUGGCAAGCCCAGCAUGUUGGAAAGAACAUGAUAUAUAUAUCUAAUUGGAUGUAGGGGAGCAUGAGUUAUUAUUGUUGACAUUACCCUUGAGGUAAAAGGUUGUGGGGCAAAACUAUAAGCCCCUAUCUUUCUCUGUGUCCGGUUAAAACUCCGUAACCACAAGUAUUGCGUGAGUGUUAGCAAUUAUGAAGGACUAGAUGAUAGUUGAGUAUGUGGACUUGAUUUUAAGCUCUGACAUAGACUCUUUCCGAUGUUAUGAUAAAUUGCAAUUGCUUCAAUGAUUGAGAUUAUAGUUUGCUGGUGCUCAAUAAGGUUUCUGAUUCAUACUUUUGCAUUGUGAAUAGAUCAUCACUUGAAUAUAAGUAAUCAUAUGACAAAAUCUACAUAUGUUGCUGUUAUGAGAGUAAUCAUGAUGCCUUCAUGUCCGUAUUUUAUUUUUAUCGACGCCUCUACCUCUAAACAUGGGGACAUAUUUAUUGUUAUCGGCUUUUCGCUUGAGGACAAGCGAGGUCUAAGCUUGGGGGAGUUGAUACGUCCAUUUUGCAUGAUGCUUUUAUAUCGAUGUUUAUUGCAUUAUGGGAUGUUAUUUCACUUUAUGUCACAAUACUUAUGGCUAUUCUCUCUUAUUUUACAAGGUUUACAUAAGGAGGGAGAAUGCCGGCAGCUGGAAUUCUGGGCUGGAAAAGGAGCAAAUAUUGGAGGCCUAUUCUGCACAACUCCAAAAGUCCUGAAACUCUACGGAAUAUCUUAAAAUAAAUAAUAAAAAAUCCUCGCCAAAGAUGAAGGCCAGGGGGUGGAACCUUGGCGGAACCAAUCUAGGGCUCCGGCAGAGCUGUUCUGCCGGGGACACUUCCCUCCGGGAGGGGGAAAUCAUCGCCAUCAUCAUCACCAACGCUCCUCUCAUCGGGAGAGGGCAAUCUCCAUCAACAUCUUCACCAACACCAUCUUAUCUCAAAACCCUAGUUCAUCUCUUGUAUCCAAUUCUUGUCUCCAAGUCCGGGAUUGGUGCUAGUAGGUUGCUAGUAGUGUUGAUUACUCCUUGUAGUUGAUGCUAGUUGGUUUAUUUGGUGGAAGAUCAUAUGUUCAGUUCCUUUAUGCAUAUUAUUACCCCUCUGAUUAUGAACAUGAAUAUGCUUUGUGAGUAGUUACGUUUGUUCCUGAGGACAAGGGAGAAGUCUUGCUAUUAGUAGUCAUGUGAAUUUGGUAUUCGUUCGAUAUUUUGAUGAGAUGUAUGUUGUCUAGCCUCUAGUGGUGUUAUGUGAACGUUGACUACAUAACACUUCACCAUUAUUUGGGCCUAGAGGAAGGCAUUGGGAAUUAAUAAGUAGAUGAUGGGUUGCUAGAGUGACAGAAGCUUAAACCCUAGUUUAUGCGUUGCUUCGUAAGGGGAUGAUUUGGAUCCAUAUGUUUCAUGCUAUGGUUAGGUUUACCUUAAUACUUUGGUGUAGUUGCGGAUGCUUGAAAUAGAGGUUAAUCAUAAGUGGGAUGCUUGUUCAAGUAAGAACAGCACCCAAGCACCGGUCCACCCACAUAUCAAAUUAUCAAAGUACCGAACGCGAAUCAUAUGAACGUGAUGAAACUAGCUUGACGAUAUUCCCAUGUGUCCUCGGGAGCGCUUUUCCUAUUAUAAGAGUUUGUCCAUGCUUGUCCUUUGCUACAAAAAGGAUUGGGCCACCUUGCUGCACUUUAUUUACUUUUGUUACUUGUGGCUCGUUACAAAUUAUCUUAUCACAAAACUAUCUAUUACCACUUAUUUCAGUACUUGUAGAGAAUACCUUGCUGAAAACCGCUUGUCAUUUCCUUCUGCUCCUCGUUGGGUUCGACACUCUUACUUAUCAAAAGGACUACGAUAGAUCCCCUAUACUUGUGGGUCAUCAGUAGUCAAGUUCCCAUAUGUCCAUUAUGUAACCAUAAUAUGUGUCCUUUCCCCUCUCGGUUGUUGCAUCAAAGCGGACACCGCUGUUUUGGUUGGUGCUCUUUUGAUCUUGGGCGAUCAUGUAAAAUGUAUACACAUUUAUCUCGUAUCCUUUGUAAGUCAAUACAGUCGAAGAUGGUCCCCUGGACAAUGAGUACAACUCAUCACAAACAGUGGUGUCACCUCUGAGACGUGUUUCCAACCAACUGCUGAAAGUCCUGAUGUGUUCACAUGUAAUCCAGUCGUCACACUGCUCCGGGUGUUUGGAGCUCAGACUGUUCUUGUGUUCAUCGACAUACGGGGUCACCAAGGUAUAGUUCUGUAGAACUGUGUAGUGUGCUUGAGACCAAGAAUGCCCGUCCCUGCAUAUUAUUGAGUCCGCUCCUAGCGUGCCUUUUCCAGUCAGUCUCCCAUCAUACCGCGAUUUAGGGAGACCUAUCUUCUUAAGGCCAGGAAUGAAGUCAACACAAAACCCAAUGACAUCCUUUGUUUGAUGGCCCAUGGAGAUGCUUCCUUCUAGCCUAACAUGGUUACAGACAUAUUUCUUUAGGACUCCCAUGAACCUCUCAAAGGGGAACAUAUUGUGUAGAAAUACGGGGCCCAGAAUGACAAUCUCGUCGACUAGAUGAACUAGGACGUGCGUCAUGAUAUUGAAGAAGUAUGGUGGGAACACCAGCUCGAAACUGACAAGACAUUGCGCCACAUCACUCCUUAGCCUUGGUAUGAUAUCUGGAUCGAUCACCUUCUGAGAGAUUGCAUUGAGGAAUGCACAUAGCUUCACAAUGGCUAAUCAGACGUUUUCCGGUAGAAGCUGCUACCUCUUGAGCACUGCGUUGGAUUUCCCCGAAGAGGAAGGGAUGAUGCAGCAAAGUAGCGUAAGUAUUUCCCUUAGUUUUUGAGAACCAAGGUAUCAAUCCAGUAGGAGGCUACGCGCGAGUCCCUCGUACCUACACAAAACAAUAGCUCAAUGCAACCAAUGCGAUUAGGGGUUGUCAAUCCCUUCACGUUCACUUACAGGAGUGAGAUCUAAUAGAGAUGAUAGAUAAUAUUUUUGGUAUAGAGAUGCAAAGUGAAAAGUAAAAGGCAAAGUAAAAAAGAAAAGCAAUAAUAAAGUGAUGGAGAUUGAUAUGAUGAGAAUAGACCCGAGGGCCAUAGUUUCACUAGUGGCUUCUCUCAAGAGCAUAAGUAUUCUACGGUGGGUGAAUAAAUUACUGUUGAGCAAUUGACAGAAUUGAGCAUAGUUAUGAGAAUAUCUAGGCAUGAUCAUGUAUAUAGGCAUCACGUCCGAGACAAGUAGACCGACUCCUGCCUACAUCUACUACUAUUACUCCACUCAUCGACCGCUAUCCAGCAUGCAUCUAGAGUAUUAAGUUAAAAACAGAGUAACGCCUUAAGCAAGAUGACAUGAUGUAGAGGGAUAGUUUCAUGAUAUAUGAUAAAAAACCCAUCUUGUUAUCCUCGAUGACAACAAUACAAUACGUGCCUUGCUUCCCCUUCUGUCACUGGGAAAGGACACCGCAAGAUUGAACCCAAAGCUAAGCACUUCUCCCAUUGCAAGAAAAACCAAUCUAGUAGGCCAAACCAAACUGAUAAUUCGAAGAGACUUGCAAAGAUAACCAAUCAUACAUAAAAGAAUUCAGAGAAGAUUCAAAUAUUAUUCAUAGAUAGACUUGAUCAUAUAUAAGCCCAUAAUUCAUCGGUCUCAACAAACACACCGCAAAAAGAAGAUUACAUCGAAUAGAUCUCCACAAGAGAGGGGGAGAACAUUGUAUUGAGAUCCAAAAAGAGAGAAGAAGCCAUCUAGCUACUAACUAUGGACCCGAAGGUCUGAGGUAAACUACUCACACAUCAUCGGAGGGGCUAUGAUGAUGUAGUAGCCCUCCGUGAUGAUGCCCCUCUCCGGCGGAGCUUCGGAACAGGCCCCAAGAUGGGAUCUCGUGGAUACAGAAAGUUGCGGCGGUGGAAUUAGGUUUUUGGCUCUGUAUCUGAUCGUUUGGGGGUACGUAGGUAUAUAUAGGAGGAAGGAGUAUGUCGGUGGAGCUUCGAUGGGCCCACGAGGCAGGGGGCGCGCCCUAGGGGGCGCCCUCCACCCUCAUGACCGCCUCGUGGCUUUCUUGACGGAGGGUCCAAGUCUCCUGGGUCUUAUCUGAUGAGAAAAUCACGUUCCCGAAGGUUUCAUUCCGUUUGGACUCUGUUUGAUAUUCUGUUUCUCCGAAACACUGAAAUAGGCAAAAAAAUAGCAAUUCCGGGCUGGGCCUCCGGUUAAUAGGUUAGUCCCAAAAAUAAUAUAAAAGUGGAAAAUAAAGCCCAAUAUAUUCCAAAACAGUAGAUAAUAUAUCAUGGAGCAAUCAAAAAUUAUAGAUACGUUGGAGACAUAUCAGGCAUCCCCAAGCUUAAUUCCUGCUCGUCUUCGAGUAGGUAAAUGAUAAAAAGAGAAUUUUUUAUGUGGAGUGCUACUUUGCAUAAUUUCAAUGUAAAUCUUCUCAAUUGUGGUAUGAAUAUUCAGAUCCAAAAGAUUCAAGACAAAAGUUCAUGUUGACAUAAAAAUAACAGUACUUCAAGCAUACUAACAAAGCAAUUAUGUCUUCUCAAAAUAACAUGGCCAAAGAAAGUUAUCCCUACAAAAUCAUAUAGUCUGGCUAUGCUCUAUCUUCACCACACAAAAUAUUUGAAUCAUGCACAACCCCGAUGACAAGCCAAGCAAUUGUUUCAUACUUUAACAUUUUCAAACUUUUUUCGAUCUUCACACAAUACAUGAGCGUGAGCCAUGGAUAUAGCACUAUAUGUGGAAUAGAAUGGUGGUUGUGGAGAAGACAAAAAGAGGGGAAGAUAGUCUCACAUCAACUAGGCGUAUCAAUGGCUAUGGAGAUGCCCAUCAAUAGAUAUCAAUGUGAGUGAGUAGGGAUUGCCAUGCAACGGAUGCACUAGAGCUAUAAGUAUAUGAAAUCUCAACAAAAGAAACUAAGUGGGUGUGCAUCCAACUCGCAUGCUCACGAAGACCUAGGGCAUUUUGAGGAAGCCCAUCAUUGGAAUAUACAAGCCAAGUUCUAUAAUGAAAAAUUCCCACUAGUAUAUGAAAGUGACAAAAUGAGAGACUCUCUAUCAUGAAGAUCAUGGUGCUACUUUGAAGCACAAGUGUGGUAAAAGGAUAGUAACAUUGUCCCUUCUCUCUUUUUCUCUCAUUUUUUUAUUUGGGCCUUUCCCUUUUUUUAUGGUCUCUUUUUUUCUUCUUUUUUUUCUCUUUUUUUUUAUUUUUUUGUACGGAGUCUCAUCCCGACUUGUGGGGGAAUCAUAGUCUCCAUCAUCCUUUCCUCACUUGGGACAAUGCUCUAAAAAUGAUGAUCAUCACACUUUUUAUUUUUCUUACAACUCAGCAAUUACAACUCAAUACUUAGAACAAAAUAUGACUCUAUAUGAAUGCCUCCGGCGGUGUACCGGGAUAUGCAAUGAAUCAAGAGUGACAUGUAUGAAAGAAUUAUGAACGGUGGCUUUGCCACAAAUAUGAUGUCAACUACAUGAUCAUGCUAACAAUAUGACAAUGAUGGAGCGUGUCAUAAUAAACGAAACGGUGGAAAGUUGCAUGGCAAUAUAUCUCGGAAUGGCUAUGGAAAUGCCAUGAUAGGUAGGUAUGGUGGCUGUUUUGAGAAAGGUAUAUGGUGGGUGUAUGAUACCGGUGAAAGGUGCGCGGUAUUAGAGAGGCUAGCAAUGGUGGAAGGAAGGGAAAAGUGCUUAUAAUCCAUGGACUCAACAUUAGUCAUAAAGAAAUCAUAUACUUAUUGCAAAAAUCUAGAAGUUAUCAAAGCAAAGUAUUACGCGCAUGCUCCUAGGAGGAUAGAUUGGUAGGAAAAGACCAUCGCUCGUCCCCGACCGCCACUCAUAAGGAAGACAAUCAAUAAAUAAAUCAUGCUCCGACUUCAUCACAUAACGGUUCACCAUACGUGCAUGCUACGGGAAUCACAAACUUUAACACAAGUAUUUCUCAACUUCACAACUACUCAACUAGCAUAACUCUAAUAUCACCAUCUUCAUAUCUCAAAACAAUUAUCAAGCAUCAAUCUUUUCUUAGUAUUCAACGCACUCAAAAGAAAGUUUUACAAAUCUUGAAUACCAAGCUUAUUAUUAUUAAGCAAAUUACCAUGCUAUUAAAGACUCUCAAAAUAAUCUAAGUGAAGCAUGAGAGAUCAAUAGUUUCUAUAAAAAAAUCCACCACCAUGCUCUAAAAGAUAUAAGUGAAGCACAUAGAGCAAAACUAUAAAGCUCAAAAGAUAUAAGUGAAGCACAUAGAGCAAAACUAUAUAGCUCAAAAGAUAUAAGUGAAGCACAUAGAGUAUUCUAUCAAAUUCCAAUUCAUGUAUGGAUCUCUCAAAAGGUGUGUACAGCAAGGAUGAUUGUGGCACACUAACAAACAAUGACACAAAUAACACAAGACUGUCGGUGUACUAGAGUAGGGGUACCCUAGUAUCCCGAACUCGUGCACGGGCAGUUGCAGCACCCCGCAGCAAGGCUUGCCGGGUGACCGCCAAGACCCUCCGUGGUUCCCUUGAAGACCAUUCAAGAACAAAGUACACAAACCAAGGCCCCGGCAAGAGGAGCUUGCCGGGAGGGCCAACCAAGGCCCCGGCAAGAGGAGCUUGCCGGGAGGGCCAACCAAGGCCCCGGCAAGAGGAGCUUGCCGGGAAGGCCAACCAAGGCCCCGGCAAGAGGAGCUUGCCGGGAAGGCCAACCAAGGCCCCGGCAAGAGGAUCUUGCCGGGAAGAGACAAGACCCCGGCAAGAGGAGCUUGCCGGGAAGGCCACUCAAGGCAUACCAAGAAAGCUUGCCGCGACGCGCCUUGCGUCCCGGCAAGAUCCGGCGAGCGAGAAGCUUCCGGACGCGACAAGACGAUGGCCGCGACAAGGAGCUUGCCGCGGGAAACCCCCACUUCGUGCCCGCGCUCCAGCACACCUGCUAACGUGUCGCUCUAGGACUCCCCCAAGCACACGUGGCAGGAGGCCGUGCAGCUAGGGGUACGUGGUGGCAAGCAGAGAUGAAGAGAAGGCCAUCGUGGCAAACGGUGGCGCUCCUAACGGUCACCUUUUGCACUGUUUAGGAGACUCAGACAGACAUUUAAUGCCCUUGUCCCCUGCCGUCAGAGUUAGGUAGCGUGCACUGUAUCCACAGUAGCGGUAGCUGCACCUACCGCAUCCUUUUCCUUUUUUACCCUUCUAGUCUACGUUGCCACCUGUCGGUGACCCCUUGAGAGUAUAAAAGGAGGCCCAAGCGCAACGAAGAACAGGUUCGGCCGGUUCGGAUCAUUCGAAACACCAGAAACACUCCCACGCUCAGUCUGAUAGCGUCAAUCGCUCCUGAGCAAAGAUUGAAUACACACAAACAAGCAGCAGUAGGGUUUUACGCAUCCAUGCGGCCCGAAGCUGGGUAAAACCGCCCGCGUGUACUGCCUCGAUCUGCUCUUUGUUCAACCUCCGCCCUCACCGAACCGAAAGGGGUUCGGUCCGCCGAUCCCCAUAGGUGUUCGUGGAUCAGUUUCCCCGACAAAGACACUCCAAGCAGAACACAUAUCAUGUGGUGAAUAAAAAUAUAGCUCCAAGUAAAAUUACCGAUGGAAGUAGACGAAAGAGGGGAUGCCUUCCGUGGCAUCCCCAAGCUUUGACUUUUUGGUGUCCUUGAAUUAUCUUGGGGGUGCCAUGGGCAUCCCCAAGCUUAGGCUCUUGCCACUCCUUGUUCCAUAAUCCAUCAAAAGAUUUCACCCAAAACUUGAAAACUUCACAACACAAAACUCAAUAGAAAUCUCGUGAGCUCCAUUAGCGAAAGAAAACAAAAGACCACUUCAAGGUACUGUAAUGAACUCAUUCUUUAUUUACAUUGGUGUUAAACCUACUGUAUUCCAACUUCUCUAUGGAUUAUAAACUAUUUUACUAGCCAUAGAUUCAUUAAAAUAAGCAAACAACACACGAAAAACAGAACCUGUCAAAAACAGAAAAGUCUGUAGUAAUCUGUAACUAACCCAAACUUCUGCAACUCCAAACAAUCUACCAAAAUAGGACGACCUAGAAAAUUUGUUUAUUGAUCAGCAGCAAUUGGAAUCUGUAUUUUAUCACGUUCUGGUGAUUUUUAACAAUUGUUUUCGUGAACAGAAAGUUUCUGGAAAUUACAGCAAGAUCAAAUAACUAUCAUCCAAGAAGAUCCUAUAGGUCUAACUUGGCACAAACACUAAUUAAAACAUAAAACCACAUCUAAACAGAAGGUAGAUGGAUUAUUUAUUCCUAAACAAAAAAACUAAAAAUAAAAUUGGGUUGCCUCCCAACAAGCGUUAUCGUUUAACGCCCCUAGCUAGGCAUAAAAGCGAGGAUAGAUCUAGGUAUUGCCAUCUUUGGUAGGCAAUUCUUCAAUGAGGCAUCUACCUUAGAAAUUUCGUUCCUUCUAGUAAUUAUCAAACUUUUAGGCACAAGAUCGAAAAAUUCAUUUGUAGAAAAUGGUUCCUUAAUGAUAGCAAAAAGAUUGGGGUGAAUACUUAUAGAUUUAAGAUCCGCAGUUUCCUUACUAGAUGAUUCACCCUUAUUCUUAGGAACAUAGAUAAGCUCAGUAUUUUUAGUAGACGGACUUGGAGUGUUCUUAACGGAAGAAAAAGCAGUUCCCAAAUUGGUAAUGCUACUCUCAAGUUUAUCGAUUCUAGUGGAAUCUAGAUUUAUUUUCUCAUUAACCAUGGGUUCCUUUUCCUUAAUAUUUUUCAAAGUCAUUCCUAUCUUAGAUCCAUAUUGGGUAAUUUGAUUGUGGAUCUUUUUAUCUAGAUUUUCAAUUGAUUCAAUGGUAGCAACUUUAUUUUCAAUAAUUUCAAGCAUUUGCAUAACAUGCUCCAAAGUUAACAUAGUUCCAUUAACCAAAAGAGGUGGUGGGCCAAAUAAAUCUAUCAUAGCAUUAUAAGAAUCAAAAGUAUGGCUACCCAAGAAAUUCUCCCCGGUAAUGGUAUCAAGGAUAUAUCUAUACCAAGGACUAGCACCUACAUAAAAAUUGCAAAGAAGAACUAAAGUAGAUUGCUUCCUGGUAGAUCUAUUUUGAGCAUUGCAAAUUCUAUACCAAGCGUCUUCUAAAUUUUCUCCCUCCCAUUGUUUAAAAUUUAGGACUUCGUUCUUGGGAGAUAACAGAGAAGAUAUAAGACUAGCCAUGACAACAAGGCAAGCGAGAAAAAGGCAAACGGAAAAGAGAGGGCAAAUAAAAUGGCAAGGGUGAAGUGGGGGAGAGGAAAACGAGAGGCAAAUGGCAACUAAUGUAGUGCGGGAGAUAGGGAUUGUGAUGGGUACUUGGUAUGUUGACUUUUGCGCAGACUCCCCGGCAACGGUGCCAGAAAUUCUUCUUGCUACCUCUUGAGCACUGCGUUGGAUUUCCUCGAAGAGGAAGGGAUGAUGCAGCAAAGUAGCGUAAGUAUUUCCCUCAGUUUUUGAGAACCAAGGUAUCAAUCUAGUAGGAGGCUACGCGCGAGUCCCUCGUACCUACAAAAAAAAA
rnacentral:lncRNA from 1 species